UUUUAACCUCUCAUUUAGGUGUGUUUGAACUAUUGGCUAGCCAUAUAGACUUGUAAUAACCCCCUAAGUAGUAUUUCAAGUAAUUUAUCUAAUACAGGUGUGUAUAUAUAAGCUUCAAUUAGCCAAUCGUCAGGUCUAAAUCAAGGUCUAACUAAAGGAUAUUUUUUGACUUAGAAGUAGAAGUAAAGUAAAUGCAGACUAAUAGCAUUAUAAUGACACAAAUAUAAUAUGACACUGACAUAUUUUAAAUACAAAAUAAGAUCUACUGAUGUAUACACUCUACGCUGUGUGCACAAUUAUUAGGCAAGUGAGUAUUUUGAUCAUAUCAUCAUUUUUAUGCAUAUUUUCCAACUCCAAGCUGUAUAAACUUGAAUGUUUAUUGGAUAUAAGCAUAUCAGGUAAUGUGUAUUAGUGUAAUGAGGGAGGCUGGGGCCUAAGGAGAUCAAAACCCUAUAUCAAGGUGUGCAUAAUUAUUAGGCAGCUUCUUUUCCUCAGGUAAAAUGGGCCAAAAAAGAGAUUUAAAUGACUCUGAAAAGUCAAAAAUUGUAAAAAGUCUUUCAGAGGGAUGCAGCACUCUUGAAAUUGCUUAGAUAUUUGGGUGUGAUCACAGAACCAGCAAACAUUUUGAUGCAAAUAGUCAACAGGGUCGCAAGAAAUGUGUUAAGAAAAAAAGACGCAAAUUAACUGCCACAGAUUUGAGAAGACUCAAACGUAAAGCUACCAGGAACCGCUUAUCCUCCGGUGCUGUCAUAUUCCAGAACUGCAACCUACCUGGAGUGCCCAGAAGUACAAGGUGUUCAGUGCUCAGAGACAUGGCCAAGGUAAGGAAGGCUGAAAUCUGACCACCACUGAACAAGACACAAGUUGAAACGUCAAGACUGGGCCAAGAAAUAUCUGAAGAGAGAUUUUUCAAAGGUUUUACGGACUGAUGGGAUGAGAGUGACUCUUGACGGACCAGAUGGAUGGACCUGUGGCUGGAUCAGUAAUGGGCACAGAGCUCCACUUCGAAUCAGACCCAAGCAAGGUGGAGGCGGGGUACUGGUAUGGGCUGGUAUUAUUAAAGAUGAGCUAGCUGGACCUUUUGGAGUUGAAGAUGGACUUAAAAUCAACUCCCAAAUCCAAAGCCAGUUUUGAGAAGACACUUUCUUCAAGCAGUGGUACAGGCAAAAGUCUGCAUCUUUCAAGAAAACCAUGAUUUUUAUGCAGGACAAUGCUCCAUUGCAUGCAACAAAGUACUCCACUAUGUGGCUCGCCAGUAAAGGCCUUAAAAACGAAAGAAUAAUGACGUGGCCUCCUUCUUCACCUGACCUAAACCCUGUUGAGAACUUGUGAGCCCUUCUUAAACGGGAAAUUUACAGUGAAGGAAGACAGUACACCUCUCUAAACAGUGUCUGGAACAGUGUCUGGGAGGCUUUGGUUGCUGCAACACAAAAAGUUGAUCGUCAACAGAUCAAGAAACUGAAAGACUCCAUGAAUGGAAAGCUUAUGACUGUUAAUGAAAAGAAGGGUGGCUAUAUUGGUCACUGAUUUUUUUUUUUUAAUUUCAACAAUUUUUAUUUGUAAAUUGAGUUGUUUGUUUAUCAUUCUCACUUUAACAAGUGAAAAUAAACAAGUGAGAUGGAAAAUUUUUCAUUUUUAAUUUAGUUGCAUAAUAAUUCUGCACACUAAUAGCUGCCCCCAAUAAUUGUGCACACAUAGAUAUUCUCCCAAGAAAGCCAAAAUCUCACUUUUACUCCCUUAAAUAUUAAGGUUUGAGGUUUAUUAACAUUUUGGAUUGACUGAGAGCACUGCAGUUGUUCCAAAAUAAAAUGUAUCCUCAAAAAUACAACUUGCCUAAUAAUUGUGCACACAGUGUAUACAAUCAUCUGAGAAAAACUCCAUUCCUCCACCAAGAACUUGAUGAGACUGGCUUUGUUGGCAGGGCUGAAGAGAAGUUUCCUCCACUGCUGAAUAUUGUGGCCAGAAACGAUGUUUCUGAACUGGAUCCCCAUGUCUGCACCUCUGUUUAGUCUUUCUGAAUUUUUGAUUGACAUGUCCUUGUAAACGUCACAGACAACAUCAAUCCUUUCACUAUCACCACCUUCAUGCAGGACCUUGGCUAAAGUUGAGUCCAGCCAGCUUCCACCAUGUCAGGAUUGCCUAUUAAUGCACCAGAUGCGGUUUUGCAGUUGCUAUCCUGCAAGUGUGUGAGGACAUGCAAACCACCAGACUGCACCUGUCUCAGCAAUGGGCUAAAGUGCAAAAACCUGUGCAAAUUACAAACUUGUGCCAACCAGUACAGUGAGGAAGAGCCCCUUGCACACCCGGCAGACUCAGAUGUAGAAGAAGAUACAGAUACUGAUGUCGAUUACUGAUGUUGAUUAAUAAGUGAUGACCAAAAGGAGCUAUGUUAACAGACCCACUGUGACUCAGUGACAGUAUUAUGUACUAAGCCAAAACUUGACAGUCAUAUUUGCUGUCACUGUUCCUUAUGGAAAGAAUAGGACUUUGAAUAGGAAUUUGAGUUUUUCUCAGAUGAUUGUAUAGAGUGUAUACAUCAGUAGAUCUUAUUUUGUUGCUAAUGUCUUCUUGCCCUGCACCAGCCAGGAUGAUUGUUUAUUGAGUGCCUGCAUUGAAAAUAUGUCAGUGUCAUAUUAAGGUUGUGUUAUUAUAAUGCUAUUAGUCUGCAUUUACUUUACUUCUACUUCUAUGUCAAAAAAUAUCCUUAAUUUAGACCUUGAUUUAGACCUGGCGAUUGGCUAAUUGAAGCUUAUAUAUACACACCUGUAUUAGAUAAAUUACUUGAAAUACUACUUAGGGGGUUAUUACAAGUCUCUAUGGCUAGCCAAUAGUUCAAACACACCUAAAUGACAGGUUAAAAUGAAAGAAAGCUAAUUUUGAAGGAAGGCGAUUUUUCAUUUUUGAACAGCUGCACUCUAUUACUUUAAUGAGUGAUAACUACAAUAAAGCUACCAGUUACCAAGGUCUAUCAUAUAAAAACUUAUUGUAGGGAUGUAUAGCAAUAAAAACAUCACAACUAGAAUUUGCCCACCCAGGUGGUACCGAUAUGUGAAAUUUUGGUUCUUGGCUCAAGGACUAAAUGAGUGAAGGUGGAGCAAGGUUGUCCAUAGUACAAAACACAAUUCUAAUGAAGUUGGGAAGAUGUGUAAAUUGUAAAUAAAAACAGAAUACAAUGAUUUGCAACUUCUUUUUAACCCAUAUUCAAUUAAGUAUACUACAAAGUAAAAAUAUUUAAUGUUCAGACUGAUAAACUUUUUUUUUGCAAAUAAUCAUUAACUUUAGACUUUGAUCGCAGCAACACAUGAUGAAGUUGGGAAAGGUGGCAAAAAAUACUGAGAAAUUCGAGGAAUGCUAAUCACACACGUAUUUGGAACAUCUCACAGGUGAGCAGGUUAAUUGGGAACAGGUGGGUGCCAUGAUUGGGUAUAAAAGCAGCUUCCCCAAAAAUUCUCAGUCAUUCACAAGCAAGGAUGGGGUGAGGUUCACCACUUUGUGAACAACUGCGUGAGCAAAUAGUCGAACAGUUUAAGAACGUUUCCCAAAGAACAAUUGCAAGGAAUUUAGGGAUUUCAACAUCUAUGGUCCAUAAUAUCAUCAAAAGGUUCAGAGAAUCUGGAGAAAUCACUGCAUGUAAGCGGCACGGCCGGAAACCAACAUUGAAUGCCUGUGACCUUCGAUCCCUCAGGCAGCACUGUAUCAAAAACUGACAUCAAUGUGUAAAGGAUAUCACCACAUGGGCUCAGGAAAACCACUGUCAGUAAAUACAGUUCGUCACUUCAUCUGUAAGUGCAAGUUAAAACUCUACUGUGCAAAGCAAAAGCCAUUUAUCAACAACAUCCAGAAAUUCCGCUGGCUUCUCUGGGCCCAAGCUCAUCUAAGAUGGAUUGAUGCAAAGUGGAAAAGUGUUCUGUGGUCUGACGAGUCCACAUUUCAAAUUGUUUUUGGAAAUAGUGGACGUUGUGUCCUCCGGGCCAAAGAGGAAAAGAACCAUCCGGACUGUUAUCGCCGCAAAGUUCAAAAGCCAGCAUCUGUGAUGGUAUGGGGGUGCAUUAGUGCCCGAGGCAUGGGUAACUCACACAUCUGUGAAGGCAACAUUAAUGCUGAAAGGUACAUAAAGGUUUUGGAGCAACAUAUGCUGCCAUCCAAGAAAUGUCUUUUUCAUGAACGCUCCUGUUUAUUUGAGCAAGACAAUGCCAAGCCACAUUCUGCACGUGUUACAACAGCGUGGCUUCGUAGUAAAAGAGUGCGGGUACUCGACUGGCCUGCUUGCAGUCCAGACCUGUCUGCCAUUGAAAAUGUGUGGCGCAUUAUGAAGCGUAAAAUGUGACAACGGAGACUCCGGACUGUUUAACAACUAAGGCUGUACAUCAAGCAAGAAUGGGAAAGAAUUCCACCUUCAAAGCUUCAACAAUUAGUCUCCUCAAUUCCCAAACGUUUGAGUGUUGUUAAAAGGAAAGGUGAUGUAACACAGUGGUAAACACGCCCCUGUCCCAACUACUUUGGCAUGUGUUGCAGUCAUGAAAUUCUGAGUUAAGUAUUAUUUGCAAAAAAUAAUUAAUAAAUAAAGUUUAUGAGUUUGAACAUUAAAUAUCUUGUCUUUGUAGUGUAUUCAAUUGAAUAUAAGUUGAAAAGGAUUUGCAAAUCCUUGUAUUCUUGUGUUUAUCACAAUUUUCCAAAUUUUGUAUUAUACAGUUUAUAGUCAGCCCCUGCAGAGCCUAUAUGAAUCAGCCUACAACAGACAUAUGCCAAGGCUAGCAGACAACAUUGUUGCUGACCCUAACCAUGUUCUAAACAGUGAGUAUGAACAGUUACAGUCAAAUUUUGGAAACAGGGUCUGACUGUUUUAUGAAGUCAGACUGAAGCUCUCUUAGGUUCAUCAGUCGGUUAUAAAGUUAAUCUCAAAAAAGUAUGUUGGUAUGUUUUUAUCUUAUUACAAUACAGAGGCUAUUUUUGUUUACAUCCUUACUUCUUUUGUUAAGUUUAUGUGUACUAUCCGGCUUCCCUCUAUCUCAUAUAUGCUGUUCACUUUCAGGGUCAAAGCCUAGUGUGCAAACUGAGGAGCAUGUGGAGAAUGCCGGUUUGGGUCCUAUUAAGGUGCAUACGUGCAGGAUAAAAACAAUCCUUAACCACGUUAUCAUGGUAUGUUAGUCAGACUUUAAAGUAAUUACUCUAAUAUGUUAACAUAAUUCCAUAUAGUCCAGUUUUAUUCGUUCUAAUGUGAUAUUUUAUUGUGUAAAUACACUAUGAUAUUGGUUUAGCGCCAUCCUAAGUCAUAGCUUUUCUUUCUUUCUUUCUUUCUUUUUUUUUUUGUUGUUGUUUCAGCAAAUGAUCUUUCAAGUCUCCGAUAUCAGUGCAGCCCUAGCUUGUUACUAAAGUGCUUUCACACUCUUUUUUUUGCACAUUUCCCCCUGGAUCCUUUUAUGUUCACACAACAGUGUUGUAAAGCACUCCAUCACAGGGCUGUCCUCAUGCUAUUAAGUCACAGCCUCUUUUUCCCCACUGCAAGGGUAAAUGACUACAUACUGGGAAGCUGGCUCCAAGAUGCCAACUACCAUUAGCCAAUUAACCUCCCAACAAAAUGAGUUGAUUUACUCAGAAUAUAUUUUGUACAUUUGUGACAAUGCUCACAAAAAUGCAGCAAUGUUCAAAAUUAUGAGUCAAAGCACAAACAAGUAUGAGUCUGAUUGCUCUGCUCAACAGUGUCACCUGAAGGUCAAAAGGACUCCAACAGCUGUGAAGGUAUGAGAACAGCUGAGCAAAAGUGCAGGUUCCACUGAUAAAAAGGACAAAGUCCUGAUGGUUCAAUAAACUGCACAAAACCAUCAGGAUGAACGUAGUUGAAGAGCCAGUAGAUGUUGUCAAGUCCUGUGGUGUUUCUACGGGACCAUCCCUUUUGCUGAAAUUAAUUUAGAUGGAGAUGGUGAGUCAAGUUUGUCUGAAACUAGUGUACCCAUCCUUGAAGUGUAAUGAGUCAAACACCUUUUUGCUUCAGUUCUUGCUGAUUGGGUUUUGGCUCCAGGGUCUAAUUCAGAGCCAGCUGAGACCACCUCCUUUAAGCAACCUCAGCCUGCCUUUUUUGUUCCACAACACUUGCUGCAUUCACAAAUGCCCAAAGGAUCCAAAAGUUAUAUCUCUAACGAAAGGUUUUGGCUUUAUUUAGGUCUUAUCUUUAGGGGACAGUAUUAUCAGGCCAUAAGCAGGUUAUUAACCUUCAGUGUGUCCCAAAUUUAAGAAUCGAUGGGCUUUGAAAAGCCAACUUUUCAAACUUCUACAUCAUCUGUUUAUGGCAUGCCUCGUUCAGCAUGAACUUUCCCCCUCUUUACCUACAUGUGUAAAGUACAGUUAAAUGCUUAUGCUGACCUGACUCCACACACAGGGGAUAUGUAUGUGAACCAUAGUCUGUAUAUACGAGACACUUAAGUGAGUGUUGUGUGGUGGUGGUCGGAGAGGCUGUAGGUGCAAACUGGCAGCCAACCCAGGGCAGCUGUGACUACUAAGGUAGUUUACCCCCACCAAGGUGUGACUGUGAGUGAAUGAAUGAAUGUAAAGUGCUUUGAGGGUCUCUGAUAAAAUGCUAUAUGAAAUCUGAUGCAUAAUUAUUAUUUAUUAUUAUUAUGAACAACUUGGCUCCACCUUGGUGAUACAAAUUUUAAGCCAAGUUGCUCUUGUUGUUUCUGUGAUUUUCCCCACUUCCUGGAACCACCACUUGUGCAGUAGUGUUGCACACAUUCAACGGAUGAGAGUCGCUGAGAGUCACUGCGAUGACGUUCUACUCAAACAGUAUAUCCCCCAAUAAAAGUGAGCUACACAAUGUUCAUAUGCCCAUAGGCUGUAUCAAAUGUCAAUCAUAGAAAACAUGAACCCCUAAUAACUUUUCAGGUGGAGUUGCACGGAAAAAAGAGGACUUGAGCACAAACCAGUCUUACAGUAGCUGCAUGUAAACUUUGCAACCGGGGGGGUAUAUUCUGUGUAAUUAAUUUCUAGAGUUUGUCCACAGCUCCAUAGGGAUUGCUGGAGGAGGCGGGAUUUAUGACCUAUACUGCAGCCCGUCACCAUAGGGUGCUGUUCUCACGGUGGCUUCAUGGUGGAGUCAGAUGGCAUCCAUUCUAUAUACAAUCUAUGAUGUGAACGACUUUAUUGAAUAAUGACUUUUAUGAGGUUAAUUUACAAUUCUGAUUGAUGUUAGUUAAAAGAAGUUGUGGCUCAACACACAGGGUUACAUUUCACAGAGGACAGACCUGAUGUCAUUGCUGCCUAUUCCGAGAUAACUCAUUUGUUAUCUCGGCUCAAAUGUAGUUAUCGGACCUUAAAAAAAGAAACACACUAUCCAAACCUAAAGGCUUCAUAUCUAAUCCAUAACCCAUAAAAUUAUAGGCACCAAAGUUGGCAAAAGUUGGGUUGUUUAUCUACCGUUGGUAAGAAAGCAAUAAAUAAUUUGCUUCUUUCUUAUAGAGCUGUAUGCACUUUCUUCUUUCAGUUUAACUUGAGGAUGAUUGGAUACAUUAUUUACAUAUAGCCUCCAUUUUAAAGAAGUGGAAAAAAGAUACACUUACUAAAAGAAUAACAAGCUCAUUAGAUUUGUCUUAAGUCUACCAAUUAGUUUGAAUUAAGAAUAAAUCAUUACAUAGAGUUCAUCUUAGUUUGCCAGCCUAUAUUAUGUUUAUAAAUGGAGCUCCAGAGCACUCUUAGCUUCAGGCUUGAACCAAAUAAAUCUGUGUAGAUCUUCUUAUAAAGCACAUUGAGGAUCCAGAGGUUAUAUUUUGAUUGGUAUCUGAUUUAAUUUCACGAAAAAAUCCAAUCCUUUUAAUGGAAUUAUAACAGAGAUUAAAAACCUGAUAUGCUUUCCAGCAGUUACAAAAGAAAAUGUUGUAAGAUAAAAUGAAAUAAAUAAAUAAAUAAAUGUUUGGCAGUCUUAAACGCUGGCAUAAUCCAUGUUUUUCAUCUCUGCCUGUUUACUCAUUUAUUAACUCAAGCAAAUGCAGAGAAAAAGUGUCCUUGCAAUGUUUUGACAGAUAUUUUAGCAGAAGCGUUUCCCAGCCGUUAAUUUAAACGGAUGACUCAGACAAACUCUUUCAUCCCACAUUUGAACAUUUUCACAGUCAUUUAGACACACCCCUGCAGUGCCAAAGCCACUGACCUGUCACAGCACUUUCAUAUCUAAUGGAUGUUCUACAAGUGGCUGUAUUUGUCCUGAUAUUUUUAAAGAAGAGAAAUCACUGAGGAAGUCAAAACAGUCAGGUAUAAUUCUUUUAAAAGCGCCCGUCUAGUUUAGUUCAGCUUGCAAUUUCAGGUUUAUAUAAGGCCACUGGCCACCCCAGGAUGACCAUCUUCCAACCCCAUGAGAACAAAGGAGUCUUUUGAGGACAGAUGGGGCAGAGCAAAGACACUUAGGGGUCCCAUUAAAAAAAAAGAAGAAAAAAAAAGGGGUGGGGGGGUUACCUGCCUUACAUACUUACUGUAUGUGUAAUGUAUGUGUAUCAUAGUAUGUCAUACUCCUGUCUAGCAAUCCCCAUGUGUGGAGGUAAAAGCCCCUAUACAGUUUUUCUGUAGCCAACUGAAUUACGGUGUCUCCAAAGCUGUGGUGGCUUGAUAGGAGUGAUUUACUUUGACAUGAAGGUAAAACCAUUCCCACACUGAAAUAAAGUGACUUUUUGGUGCAGUAAACUCUAUCAGAGUAACUGUCAUAAUUUCUCACUUGUAUUUUUAAGAUUCAGUAAGAACUAGAGUUUCUUAAGUAAAAAAAAAAAUAUUUUUUUUUAAUGUAUAACAUAAAAUAUAGGAGAGAGUAAGUUUUACUUAGGUUUACUUAUACUAUUUAAAUGUUUAAUAAUUGUAUGUACAUAAACCUACAAAUACUGCAUAAGCUUUACUCUGAAAGUAUAGCAUUUUGAAACCCAUGCAUGACACACGUGCACUGUAGCCUACAACAGGACUGGCUCUGCUCCAAGUCUGGACGUUACAGGAUCACAAAGCAAGGUGUAGCACUAAGGGCAGUCAUUUUGCAGGUAAGUUAUUAUCGUUCUGCUUUAAAUACAGUAUCAGGGCUCUCAAGUCUCACGCAUUCAGCGUGUGACACAUGCAUUCUCACCCGCUCACACAUUGUAUUUCUCACGCAUUUAAAUGAACAUGGUACAAGAACAAGAUGUACAAGAUGGUAAAUCUUGUGAGUUAUUUCUCUCAGUGCAUUAAUCAAGCAAGUCAGCUCUUUCUGAAACUACCAUGGUUUGGCAAGGCUUGAUCCAAGAGACAAAUAGAUUCGGUUAAAGUUAUGGAAGACGUUUCACCUUUCCUCCAACAGGUGUCUCUGGUUCUGAAAGUUGACUGGAGUCAGAUCUAAAAAUAUAAAGCCUCUGUGACCAUGAAUAUAGUAAUGAUCUAAAUCAUUUCUGGGAAUCUUGGAAGAGUCAGUGACCGAGCUUUCUCAGGGUGUGUGUGAUAAGACUUCGGGUCACAUGAUGGAAGUGUUUGGAUUGUUUAGUAAAGGGAUCUAAACAAAGUCAUAAAUAUCUUCGUUCACCAGCAAUGUUCAAUAAUGGUGGUUUCAGUUUGACACAGAUGACUUCAUCAACACUUUUCUCAAACCAGCGGUCUUCCUGGCCAUAUGCAAACUUUACUGUCAUCAAAGAAGAGUCCUGUAUCCUCUAAAGGUGAAGGUGAACAGCUAAACUCUGUCCAGAGCACUUGGCUCUACUGUUCUGGGCCAUGCGUUUGAGUAGGAUUGUAUGCAAAAACAAAACGAUAAAAAAGCAGUGCGUAGUUUCGUGUUUGGUGAACCAGUUUCUGUCUUUGAGUAUCAGAGUUUUAAAUGUGCCAGACUUUUUUGUUUGCGGCAGAUCCUCCAGAGUUUUUCAGACAGGUCAGGAAUAGCAAUGUCUUGGCCCUAACUCUUUUUAUCUGUGUCUUAAAGGUCUUGAUGGAGCCUCAGUUUGGGUAUCCCUGAGAUUUUCCUGUCAUUACAGUAUUACACUUGAUCUUGAACAUACAAAUAUCAAUGGAGAGAGAAUAGAAAUAGGAAUGAAACAGAAAACUGUGAAGCGGGGUCUUCAGGCUCCUUUGCCAUGCUUGUUUUGGUGUUUUUCCAUCUCUCCAUCUCUUUGCAUUUGUCUGUGCUCUCACCCUCUCAGACAAAUUCCCCACUGUGUCAGGUCACUGAUGAGGUUGGAAACUGAGAGGCUGCUGAUCACCCAGAGACCAAAUUUGGGACAUAUUGUAAACAGACAGAAAUUCCUUGUAAUGUUUUGUUUUGCUGGAUUCAUGUGUUUCACUUGAGGGACUGAUGUCUGUAAUACCUGUUUGAAUGGUUUCUUUGAUUACACCAGCCAGCCUGUUUUGUCAUCCUCAUCAUCUCUCUAAGAAGAGCACAUCUCCACAAUAUAAUCAUGUAGUUUUACACGGCUUUAUGAACAAUCACAACAGGGAUAAUAAUAUGUACUCAGAGAGCAGUAUUUUUAAUGAGCCCUGCUUCUUGCAUAAAGCUAUGUUUUUAUUGGUGUCCCAGGCUGACAGAUUAAAGAAAGGGCAACUUUGAUGUCUGUGCUUUUGUCAUUCCUCACUCCAGCUCCUUAUGUCACAUUACUUCAGCAGCUGCCAAAGAGUGUCUUUCCCCUCUCAUCUCUCCCUGUCCACUGACUCAACUAUGAAAAGAUCUAUGUGAAACCUGUAAGUAAGGUCUUUAGCUUUCCAGCAACCAGUUCACUGUAUACAUGCUGGUUUCCAUGAAAAACCACUGAUUAUCAACCACCAUUUUUUCUUAAAGCAUGAGAAGAGAUCCUGUCUGUUCUCAUGCUUUCAGAAAAAAAAAAAAAGUUUUAGAAAUGGUUUAGUGAAAUGGGCAUAGAUUGUCUUCAAGCUGGGUGGCUACACAACACAUGCACCAUUGAGACUCUUAGCCUUUGUCUGUGCAUGACUCUCAGCUCAGUGGUAUAAAUGCAGAUUGGAGUUUGAGUUGUACAAACAUUUCUGGGAGGCAAUGUUAUCCUAGAAGCAGAAAUAAUCUCAUUUAAUGAGAUAAAGCUCGGUGGGAUAAGCAGAAGAAAGCACAGCUUUUUUAGCCAAGGAUAAUAACACACUGGAGCCCUUCUGGAGAAUGGAAAAGAGAGAAAUAUAUGAUUCUACAAAGCCAAAAAUUAGACAGAGUUGCAAAUUCAUUUAACUUUAGUUUUUAUCCCCAUUAAUACCACUCCAAUUAGUGUAGGGUUACUUGUUCAAUAGAUGGGGAUUUAACAGUUAUUUAUUUGUUGAAUCGACUUUGUGCACAGCAGUAUAAAUCCCAUUUAUGCUUGACAUUACUUUUGUGGGUUUAUUUACUUUCCUCCUUAUUUAGAUGUUAGUCUCUUUAUACACUUAUAUCCCGCUCCUCAUUGCAUUUUUUACCUCGUGUUUUUCCCACUGUUCCACCUGUAUAUCCCUAUGAUCAGAUUUUACACUUUUGAGACAUGAAAAAGUUAGGUACUUAGGUUAGACAUUGAGUACUGAUAACAAGACCACCAGUGACACAAUGAAAGAGGAUGGAGUAUGGAGUAGGAAGAAAAGGUGCUCAGUGUAGUCUGACCCUAUAGCAGCAUAACUAAGAUCUGGACCAGGCCUGAUUUAGCAUAAAGGGACAUUUGGAGCCUACUCAAAAAGGUGAAGAGGGGGACUGUCAGCCAAGAGACUACAGAGUUGUGUCAUUUCCAACUGUUUGCCUGUUUCUUUAUUGGUCAAAAGACAUGUUAAGUCGGCAUUCCCAAUAUGGUCACCACCAUCUUGGACUUCAGAACCCCUCUUCAGAUGGGUUAUGUCAAUGAGACCAUGGGCUCUAUUUUCGUUCGCGCCGGUGAGGCGGCGGAGGGCGGCGAGCCCCGCGCAGUUGUAUUUUCGUCUGGCGGAGCCCGGCGUAAGGCGAGUUUGGUAUUUUCGUGGACUGAGUCGCACGGAGGCGAGCCGAGAUCCGCCAAGCUGGGCGUGGUGGCGUGGCAGGGGGAGGUGUUGACAGAAUCAGCUGGCGCAGUGACAUUUUCGUGCUCGCCACCGGCGUGUAACGUGCGCUGAAAGCUCGCCGAUUCAAACCUGGUCAGCUUUCAGCGCAAGGCGGAACGCAGCUGGUCUAGUAGUAUUUUGGUAGACCGGCGGCGUAUCGACAUACGUCACUGAUGCCUCACCGGCAGGUUUCCACAGUGUCAGGCACAUUUCAGUGCAAUAAAUAAUCAUCAUCAACUAUUAAUCUGAGUCAGCACAUACAUUUAGAUCUAUUUCGAUAUAUUCUGAUCUAUAUCUGAUCUGAUGAGCGCGUUUGGCACGCGUUUGGGCACACAACCUGACUGAAUCAAUACAGCUGAAACUGCAUCAAAUUAAAUUAAAUAUCUAGUAAAUAUACACACAUGAUGAAGUUAACAAGAUAUGUAAUGUGUCUCCCUCCUUUUCUUUCUUCCUCUUAUUUCUCGCACAGCUCGACCUGGACACGUCUCCGUGUCCUCUGUCCGUCUUGCUUGCUGCUGCGGCUGAACAGCUGAUUUGUUUCAGUGCUCAGAUGCGUUAUCUACUUUAAGCCGACAUACGGAUAUUAUAAUAUUCAGUUUUGUGGGCCAAAUUUAUUUUAUAUGCCAACAUCUAUGAAAGAAAGAGCCAGGCCACGGAGCGCGAUGCGUCAUUUACGCACAGAUGGUUCCGAUUUUAAUGCCAUUUUUGGAGUUUAUGUUGUGAUCUGUGCGCUAAACCCACCUUUGUCACGUGAGGUUUGAAUAUAUGCAACUUUAUGUGAGUGUCUUUUUUGUGGAAAAGGGUGUUUGUCUUACCAGUGGGUCCAACAUUACGCACACCAAAUCUAUCUGUGCUCAUAUGAGAGAGUGUGGAGGACACUUGUUGAGCAGCUGCCCUCUGUCGCCAUCGUGUGGCAUAACUGUCUUCAGACAUCUCUUGAUCUCUUUGACUACUUCAUGAAAAUAGUAAUACGCCUCGCCGGUGGCGGAUUUAAAGGCAAGGAGAGGAGCUUAUGUGAUUGGUGAAAACAGGUCUCGGCUGUGUUAAACCGACUCCAUGCCCUCUCUCCUCCCCGUCUAUGACUUAUGCUGCCGGGAGGAGCUGAGUUAGGGAGGGGGGAUACUUACGCCAGGCUGCGCGGCUCACCAAAAUACCAAAAUGUGCUUGGGAACGCCUUGUCAGCGCGGCGGAUCUGAUUGACGCUGCGCUUGCGGCACGUCUUCGGCGAGGCACCAAAAUAGAGCCCCAUAUGUACAUAUUUCACUCAGUCUGUGGGCAGAAUUCAAGUUAAAGGCUUUAGUUUCCCAAAUUUUACAUAAAUGACUAAAAGACCAAAGGCAAGCCAAGAGAAAGCCCAUCAAGUACCCCCCUCUGUUUAAAACAGGACUCAAACAAUAAAGAAAUGUUUUUUAGAGACUUCUAUGAAACAGCUGUGUUGAGUACAUAAUGUUGUCUGUCUUUUUCCUUGUUCUGGUUAAUAAAGUACAACAGAGGAAGAAGCCAGUCAUACACAAGAAACAGUGCCACGAUUCAGAUGUACAGAUGCCUGCAGCAGCUGAGUUGACCAGAAGUAUAACAAUCAAAAUGUGUCGCUGUUGUGGUGUGAGCAGUAUCAUAAACACUGCAGUGUAAUUCACAGUUUUCCUUCGGGGGGUUACUUUUUUGGCCAUAUGAAAUGUUUCAGUGCUUUAACUUGGCAAUCUGAGAGCUGGCAGAGUCUUUAAAUGUCCUAUAGAUGGGUAUGCGGCUCCGCAGAAGGACUCUGACAUAAUAGAACUCAACAGCAAAAUGAAUGCACUUCUCCCUUAGUGCUCUUCUGGAAGCCCCACUCUCAUAUUCAUGAGCUCGCAUUGCCAGGAAAAGUUAUCAAACAACAAGCUAAUAAAAAGCAAUCUGGCAGAAUUGUCUGCCUUUGCUUCCAGAUGAUAUAUCAGUCUCAAUUCAUCAUAUUCACAUGAUAACAAGGUUUCUCUGACACCGUAUCUUAUGCUGUCAUAUCGUGAUAGCAUUAUUAUCAAAGGGGGGUAUAACUGUAAGGGGUAAAGCCCAGAGAGCAGAACCAAUGCCGCAUGUGACUUCAAUUCUUGAUCACACUUGAGAGCAGUAUAAUCAAAGUCAUACAUGCCUUAAAGGGAUAUUCCAGUGUAAAUUUAAGUUACGGUCAAACAAAUGUUGCAGACUGCUUGCUUCUCUAGUUAUAACAACUUUAGCAAUGACCACAUGAUAGCAAUACACAGCAGUUGGUCUCCACACUUGAACCCAACCAAAAAGUCACUCUAUAGCCACAAAUAAUGCUCAGAACAGCACCUAACUUCAUCAACAGGACAUGUAGGGUCCCAGCCAUAGUACUAGCCGCCAAACAUCUUUUUAGCUUUGCCUUUAUUUCUUUAGCAAAGAGACUAAACACAACACAACUCACCACAGAGUUUCUCAGCUCAAGGAAGAAAAUUUAUGAGUAUCACUUCAUGGGAAUGCAAUCAGAGUUCUUGUGUAUCUUGUAUGUCAGUUUAUAACUGUUAUUAUUAAGUGCUGGCCGGGAAAUGAGCCCAGAUGAGCAUUUCUAACUACAUAUUUACAGGGGAAAAUCACAUCAACAAAUACAUGAUUUUAGGUGAUGUCAAACGCAAGAUCACAUCGACCUGUAAACAUUUAAGCAGACAAGAGACAACUUUUUUUUUUUUUUUCAGCUGAGGCUUCUCGCCAAAGUUAAAUCCUAUUUAAGCCAGAAGGACCUUGAAAAGGUUAUUCACGCUUUUAUCACAUCUUGUUUAGAUCACUGUAAUUUCCUGUAUGUUGGCAUUGGCAAGUCAGAGCUCAACCGCUUGCAGCUCAUUCAGAAUGCUGCAGCUGGUCUCCUAACUGGGACUAAGGAAUGAGAGCACAUAACUCCAGUGCUUGCCUCUCUUCACUGGCUCCCUGUUAGGUACAGGAUUGAUUUUAAGAUUCUUUUAUUUGUUUUUCAGUCUCUGAAUGGGCUGGCCUCGGAAUAUGUGUCUGACCUUGUUAAACUGCGCCGGCCCUCCAGAGCCCUGAGGUCAGCAAAUCAGGUGGUUUGAGACAUUCCUCAAUCCUUUUUAAAAUCCAGGGGAGAUCGAGCAUUUUCUGUCGUGGCUCCCACUUUGUGGAACGCUUUACCCCUGGCAGUGCGCACUGCUAACAGCCUUUCCACUUUAAAACACUUCUGAAGACGCACCUGUUCACUUUAGCUUUUGGGGAAGUAGAGCUACUUUUAUUGGGUGUUUUAUUUAUUUGCUAUGCUUAUCUAUAUUGUUGUUUUAUGUUUUUAUAUUUUGUUUGCUUUUAUUGUUUUUAUAGUUUGUGGCUAUUUUACUGUAAAGCACUUUGGUAGGCUACUGGCUGUUUUUAAAUUUGCUAUAUAAAGCUGACAUUGACAGUGACAACAAGGAUGCAUUUAUGGAGAUGGACAACAACUAUGAGUGGCUUCUUUUAGAUAGGUAACCCUAUCAGUUUGAGCCAGAAUCCACAGAGGAAGAGCUGAAGGAAAUGAAGGAGAAAAAUGCUAUGGAGGGAGAACUGCCUGUGGAGCCUGAAGAGUCUCUGUGCUCUGGGAUUUGGUGGUGUGGCUGUGGGCACUGUCUGCCUAUGGCCACUCAAGUGAAUGUUCAUAGUGCCAGGAGUUGGACGUGUUUCAGCAGUGCCUGAGUGCUGUAGUGGACACAUAAACUCACUGCAUAACAGCCAUGGAAGAGUUUCAAACUGUCAUCCACCCUACCGUAGUGGAGACAUUUUUUAUGUCCCUAAAAUAAACAGGAAGAAAUGGCCAACUCCAGAGGGGCCAAACGGUCAGUUAUCCACCAUAUUUUUUUCUCAUGGUUGCAUGGUUUAAAUUUACAAACAUUCACGAUAAGCUACGCAUGUUAACUGUUUAUAAACACUCACUUAUUUCUGAAUCUUUUUGACUAGAGAAUGCCAGUAGAGACAAGUACCCAUCCCUGACUGGAGAAUACUAUGGAUUUCAGGAGGCAGAGGACAUGUCACAAAUAUGGUAACAUUAUUUACUCCAUUUACCUUUAGAUAUACAUUGAUGUUAACAGACCAUCGCUAAAUAUAUGUCAGCAAGAGAAAAUAAGGGAUUAGUUUUAGGGUUGAAAACAUUUGCAAGAGUCACAACUUCAGUGCAAAAGCAAAAAAACAAAUCACAGUUGGAUUAUUCACUUUAAGUUUUUGGCUUUUGAGAGUCUGCAUACAAAAAUCUUAAUAAAUCUCAACCGCGUUCAAACUACCGCAGAAAUGGUGAGAAAGAAGCAACUGAGUAAAGAAACAAAAGUACAGAUUUGUACAUUGAGGAAAGAAGGAUACACAGAAAGAGAAAAUUGCAAAACGCCUAAUGGUGUCUAACAAAGGAGUCCACUACACUCUGAAGAGACUAGAGGAACCUGGAAGUUAUGAUGAUAGAAAAAGACCUGGACAAAAGAGAGUUACUACAAAAGCAGAGGAUAAACAUAGCAUUGUCACCAGUAAGAGAGAUCGGCGAAAGACAGCACCAAAAAUAAGGGAGAAAAUCAACAUGACAAGGUCAAAACCCGUAUCUCUGACAACCGUGAAAUGACAUUUGAGAAAGGCUGGUCUGAAGGGUUGUGUAUCUGCAAAAAAACACUACUUCAUCCACAGAACAAGAAAAAGAGAUAUGAGUGGGCAAAAGCUCACAAAAAUUGGACUAAUGAUGACUAGAAACAAGUUUGCACUGUUUGGUUCAAAACGCAGAGUCAGUGUCUGCAGACAAACUGGUGAAUGUCUGAAAGCACCACGUGUUACACCCACAAUUCAGCAUGGAGGUGGUAGUUCCAUGGUAUGGGGAUGUUUCGCAGGUGAUGGAGUAGGAGAUUUGUUUGAAGUAAAGGGUAUCAUGAAGAAGGAACAGUACCACUCCAUCCUCCAGCAUCAUGCAGUUCCAUCUGGAUUAAGACUUGUGGAUCACAAGUUUGUUUUGCAGCAAGACAAUGACCCUAAGCCAGGGGUCGGCAACCCGCGGCUCUGGAGCCGCAUGCGGCUCUUUCUUCCCUAAGCUGCGGCUCCCAAUGGAUUUGGAAAAUAAAUAAUAAAUACUUAAUUGCAUUUUAUUUUAUUUUAUUAUUAUUAUUAUUAUUUUGUAAUUCUAAAUUCAAAGAUUAUAAUGCUCUUGUAACAUUAAAUAAACUAUUAAGGCUGCAACAACUAAUCGAUUAAGUAGAUUCGUCGUGACGAAAAAAAUCAGUUGCCAACAAAUUCUAUAAUCGAUUCGUCGGGUCUUUAUAUAUGUCCAUGGACACCGGCGUGUAAACAUCAGCAGGACGCACAGAAAAGAAACAGCCAUGGCCGAGGCAGCGGCUGAGAAAAACAUGGACACAACCCAACCCAAAUCCCGACCUAAAACAUCAGUGGUGUGGGAAAACUUCACCAAGACCGAAAAGGAAGGCUUUCAGUGCGACAUUUGCAAAGACCGUUUUGCAUGGCACGGGAGUACAUCGAUGAUGCGUGAGCACAGGGCUCUCAAGUCUCACGCAUUCAGCGUAUGACACACGCAUUCCCACUGGUUCACACGCUCACACACCACACAUUGUAUUUCUCACGCAUUUAAAUGAACACGGUGAUGUCCACCAAGUUGCACUUCUUCAACUAUGGAACUGGGGGAAAUCAACUGAGUUCCUCCGAGAGUUCAGAAGCUGCGUGCCACGCACAAGCCAAUCAAAUAAAGUAUAUCUACUGAACAGCCAAUCAAAAAGCAGCAUUGCUGUAUCCGGGUAGAUUUUGAUAUCUUGCGGUUUAACUACAGAAGAAGACAGACACUCGCCGAAAUAGUUCAUUUAUUUCAUAAAUGCAACUCGCUACAGUUUUUUAUAUACUUUGUAUAAAGGUAAAAAAAAAAGAUAUAUGCAAUGUUAUCUUCAUUUUAGAUGUCAAAGAGGUUUUGUGGCUCCCUGUGUUUUCUUUUCUGUGGGAAACUGGUCCAAGUGGCUCUUUGAGUGUUUAAGGUUGCCGACCCCUGCCCUAAGCACUCUGCCAAGCCCUUUUGGGGUUACCUAGACAAAAAAGAAGAGGAAGGUGUUCUUCAAAAGAUGCUUUGGCCCCCUCAGUCUCCAGACCUUUCCAGACAACACACAGCCAGCCAGCAAUCAAGCAGGCGGGCAGAGUCUCGUGGUUUGCUCACAGCGAAUGAAUGAUAUGUAUCAGUCAGUCUUUGAAUGACAUGUAUCAGUCAAUGAAUGAAAUGUUUCAGUAAGUCUGUGAACGACAUGUAUCAGUCAGACUGUAAAUGAAACAAACAACUUCCGAAUGACUAGAGGCAGGCAGAGGAGGGAGGUGUGUAGCGUCAUUCACAAACUGCCGAGCACCAGUUCGUUCACUGUGAGGAUGAACGUAGGCUAAGAUAAAACAGUGCAUUAUCGUGCCUUUACAUUAAUACACGUGUAUAAUCACGUGCUGCAUGCUGCUGUGUUGUUUUGUCCUCCGACGACACAUAGAGGUGAGUUUUUUAGGGCAGGGGAGUGAUUCUAUCUUCAGGACUUGGCGAAUGAUCACCAUAUGUCACCAAGUAAACUUAGGACUUACAACUGAGGAUAACUGGCUCAAAAAAUACAGAUAAUGGCCCUCAUUUAUCAAUCUUGCGUAGAACUGAGCGCAGGAUAUAAAGUACGGUAGGACACGUGAGAUUUAUGAAAGGGUUCAUAUCUGACCAAUCCCAGCGUACAUAUGAUCAAGUCUUGAUAAAUGCGGCGGCUGAAAUCAAUCAUCAUUACCAUGUCAUGCUCUUAAAUAUACGUGGUUCAGAAGCCUCGCCCAAUGACGUCAAACAUGAAAGAGGAGAAAUAUUACAAAGGAAACUUUUCCGAGCUGAAAGUGGCCAAUUAGUCGAUAAGUUGCUCUUGAUGAUAAAUUAAUUUCUCAUACAUGCCUCAUAUUUUUAUUGCCAUUACAUAGGGUAUGUUGCUCCUGUUGUUUAAGGUUUUAAUUUGUUGCGUCUUUGUAAUGUAGAGCAGACUGGAGAGUCUGACAGAGGCUGAACAAAAAUAAUUAUUAAUGUCACCAAACGGUGAGUUGCUGCCCCCGAGGCCCCUUUCUUAUGGAUUUCUAUUAGAUUUUUAUCACUGAUUAAAUUGCAAGAGCACUUUCUAAACUUGUACUUUACAUCAGAAUCCAUGGAUAAGGUCCUGUCUCCUCUGUACAGCACCUUUGUGGAGUCUCUCCUCGUUAUUGUUCUCCGGGCAUCGGGUCCUCACGUUGCACCGGCACAGCCAACGGCACUCCAUUCUCCAGUGCAACAUUGUGCAAAACUGUACUGGCCCAAAUGAUGUCCCACACCCUUUCAGGAGUGAACAACAACAACGUCCCCGCUGCUGGGCCAAGACAGAGACACCUGCCUUUUAGGAGUCAAACGCAGCGCUCCACAGUGGCGCAUGUGCGUGUGUGCGCAAUAUUUAAAUGGCGCUCCUGCUCUGUGGCAGUGUUUCUGGGCAGAGUUAUCAAAUAGGCCUAUUCACUAAGGACAUAACAAAUUCAUUUUAUUUUAUUUACGUCUUAAUCUUUAAUGAAAUCUGGGUGAUUGUGCUUAGUGACAGGUUUGAGGUUAGUUUAUCAAUUAUUUUCAGUCAGACAUUUGCUGCACCGCAGAUCCACACUGACUCAAACUUGUGUACACAAUGUCAGACCUGUCUUGAGAUUUGGUCGUAGCGUACGCUCACGUGCAUUGAUAAAUGUCGAUCCUCAUGUUGCAACUUAAAUACGCAAGGUGUACAUAAGUUUUCUGCCGUACGCAAGCUUGCUAAAUGAGGGCCAAUGUGCUUAAAAAAAAACAAUUCCAUCAUAACAUUUGAGUAAGUAUUCUUUAGCAAGCAGUGACAAUGGUUUAUUCUUGUUUCCGCUGGCCAUAAAACAAAAAGUCCAAGAAGCAGCUGCAAUGAAGACUGAGUAAAAAGGUACCUGCUUGCUCCAGCGGCCAUCCAAAAGAUUUCAGGAAGAAGCAUACACAUCAUUUUACAAUAAAAGCAUGUUUGCACAACACAUGAAAUAAAUCAACCAAGAUGCAAGUAAGUAAAUCUUUUGAAUUGAAGCACCAUGAAUAGUUAUUCUAUCGAUCAAUCUUUUGUUUGGAAACUAAUGCAAAGUGUUUGUUUUAUGUUACCGAGUGUAAGGCUAUGACUGCUGCACAAAUCAUGCCAGGAAAGAUAACCAUCCAAAAAAAGAAAUACUUUGUCAGUUUGGACAAUUUUGAGUUUAGUAACACAGAUUAUUUGGGAUUUUAAAUUCUAUAUUGUCAUGAAAUGAAAGGAGCACACAAUGGCAAGACACCAAAUCACUUUGUCGAACAGACAGGGUUUAUUAGAGCUAAGGCAGAGGUCGGUGCAAAAAAGGCAGUAAAGUCAGGCAGAGGUAUCCAAAAACAAGGCAAAAAGGCAAGGUCCGAGAAAGGCAGACAAGGUAAUACACAGGUGACAAUGACUAUGAAUAAUGCUGGAUCGAGACUAUGAAGUGCAACAAACUGGUGACGAGACAGUGAGACACACAGGGUAAAACACAAGAGGUAAAAAAGGUGAUGGGAAACAGGUGGGGAGUGACAAUCAGGCUGCAGGUUUGACAAGACAGGGACAGGGCAGACCAGACAGGAACAAAUCUAGAAGACAGAAACAAGGGUUAGUGGACUACAAGAUAAAACAGUACAGACAUGACAUGAAAUAAAACAUGAAUAUGCAAAAAUGAAGGAAACAUAACCAAUGAUUAAACAGAAGUAAAAGGAAAUUUAGCGGACAUGACACAUUAAUAUUACAUUUCUCCUCAGAGAUGAAUAAAGUUCUUAUCUUAAAUAUCACAUUGAAAAUUCUAAUAUGAUUUUUUUCCCAGAAUCAUAGGUUAAAAUAUAUUGUCACAAUCCUACUGUGAAUCCUUUUUUCUUGACAUUUUGUAACAAAACAGUGUUUUUGAAUGGAUAGAUAAGCUUGAUAUGACAUGACUGUGUUUCUAAGGGUAGACCCUUAAUAUUCUACAGGUUGUUUAAACACUUUUAACACUAGAAACACCAAGGGGGUAAUUUUUUACCCCCUGCUGUUUUCAAAUGCUUGUAUUUCUGUUAAAAAAAAAAAGCCUACAUCUUAAAGUCAAUGACUUUUUCAAAAAAUUGAUUUAUUAAUCAUUCAGUGAAUUUUGGUGAGUGUGGGAUAAAAAGUCAAAUAAAAACAACCAUUUAUUCCUAGAACUGCCAAGGAGUCAUUUUUACCCCCUCAUAUAAAACAGUGUAGACAGCUGUCACUUCAGGCGCAGUGCCAUUCCUGGUUGCUUAGCACUACUCAUGUGUUUGGUGAUUGUAAAUAUAUUAUUUGAUAAUUUCAUCGUUUGUAGAACAGUUCGUACAGCUUGUCGAUAAAUGUAAAGAUGUAUAAAUUUGUGUGGGCGAGAGAGCGCAGCAUUAGGCCACUUUAUAUGUUCUUCUUAAUUUAUUAUUAUUGUAGAGAAAUCUGUUAUUUUGUUGUUGUAAAUAUAUGAUGUGAUCAUUACAAUAUUUGUUGAACAGUUUCUAGAAUUUGUUGAAUUUGAAAAUGUAUUUUACCCUUCGACUAAAAUUAUUAAUUUGCUAAAAAAAAAAUCAAAAAUAUGUAUUUUAAACACUUAUUUUGCCAUGUCUCCAUUAUUAUUUAAAAAAAAGACAAGAAUAAGUCAUCUAACACCUUCCAGAAAAGACAUUGUAGCAUCACUAAUGCUAUUGGAGCUCAGCAGUAGGUGGAUUGGAAUGCUGGCAGUGCUGAUGUUAAAGUUGAUCUUGCCAUCUGCAGAAACCUCCCAGAUUUAUUUUAGGCUAAUCUAAAUCUCUAUGCCAAUUAAUCAAGCACUCAUUGUUUCAGGAGCAUGCCUUCCAAACUGAUCAUCGACCGCCACAAUCUUUAAAAGUGAAUAUGACACGUCCUCUACUGAUAAGUAACGGGCAAUAACAGUUACAUGUUCAUGUUGAAAGCAAUGACAGAGAUGGUUUGAUCCUUGGACAAAAGUUGCUCCAAAGUUACUUUGAGAUGAGGUUGAGCCACAUGCUAUUCUCAUUCAGCUGCAAGGACUAAAAAGGCAUUUUCGUUUUGCAUAAUACCCAGGCUUCUGAGUUUUGAUUUUCUGAGUGAGGAGCUGGUGUAGCACAGCGGUAAUGCAUCCUUUUUGUCUCUUCUAGCUGGAGUAAACAGCAGUUUUUAGCCUCAUCACAGCUCAUUCUGUGGGAAUAAAUUACCCAGGUAAUUAUACACUACAGCAUUGUAGUAAACAAAGAGGAAGCACAUUGAGCUGGGUGAUGAUGGCUGAGAGGACUUUACUAAACAGCAAACUGUAUGAAUAAAAAUGAAAGACUUACAACAAUUUAGUCAUGUUCUGACCUUAGGUGUGAGCUUUUGAACUUCAGGAGGUGUAAGUCAACCUGACUCUUUUCUGAGUGUGUAGAUGUAGUGAGAUAAAACAGAGAUACUGGUGCUUUAUGUGUUAUCUGACAGAUAUGACAGAUAUGAUAAAUGACAUGGUUUUAAACUCAUACGAUUUAAACUGUAAUGCAUUCAAAGCUCAACAGCGAAACUUUAAUUGUACUGGCUGACUGUCCCAGUUAUAUCUCUUCUUAUUGGAAAACAGAACCAAACUGAAUAUAUAUCACCUUAUGUUUUAAAUUCACCUUAAGUAGGGCCGUUCAGUUUUCUGAAUGCAAAACGGGUGUAGCUAAGCUCAGGGGUACACUUUGGAUUCAAAUGCAGGUCUAUGCAUUAAGUUGAAUUCAAGACACACAGGCUUAUUGUGGUUUUUGCUUUUAUUAUUAAAAAAUAUCCAACAGUUUCUCAAUGAUCUCAGACUACAAAGUUUAACAUUGGACAUUUAAAGAAGCACGGAUUACUGAUAAGCCGAGUACCAGAACAAUGGUCCAAAUGAUUUGAGGGGGUAGGAAAUUAGACAUUUCGCAGGUUUUAACUUUUAAUUCCAUUUUAUUUUGAACUGAACUGAAUAAUUGUUAUUUCAGUUAAUGUCUUUGUUAAUGGUUCAAUAGUUAAGAGCAUUAAAAAGGAGAUGAUGAACUGUAGAAUGAUUUUAUUCUCUGCUGUAAACCUCCAAAUGUUCUGUCUCAGUUUAACAAUCCAAAUGGGAGUCUGAUCCACUUCCACAUCCCUGUCACAUAACAAAACAGUAGUUUGGCUUUGAAUUGCAGGUCACCUCUGGAGGUAAAUGCCAACUGUAAUUAGGUUUUUCCAGCUGUAACUGUGAUGACUAUCAGAUUGGAACAGUGGCAACAAUAGCAAUUAGAAACAAUUAGAACAGCAAUCAUGAAGGCAGAGAGAGGGAGUCUUCCUCAGAGUGGUACAGAGUAUGUACUGCGUCUAUAUCACCUCAAUGUUAAAGCCAGGCAAACUUCAUGUUGUGUGCGUCAUGAAGCAAGGGUUAAACAAAUGAAAGAACCCAAAAAUGCAGACAAACGAAAAAGGAUUUCUAAAAAAAGAACUUAAUAAAAGCAAAAAAAAAUUACUUUAAAAUGUCCAACUGAAAAAUUCAAAAGUCAAAAUCCAACAAAAGACACUGGGGAAAAAUCACAAGGAGAUUAGGGACUUUGAGGUGGAGUAGGCAGGAAUCCAUUUAAACAGCAUCUUUUUUUGUGGUGUAUACACGAAAAAGCUUUUAAUAUCAGUCAAUAGUUAUUAGUUAUUGAUGACAUUUGGGAAUAUCACAAUAUCACUGUUUUUUGUUGUGUCUGCGUAGUCAACAUUUUAAAUUUUUGAGCGGCCCGCUCUUUCUGACUGUCAACAAAGCCGUUCUCCACUUCCCCCAACCUGACUGGUUGUGAGGCAGAUGCUGCUCCCUCGUGCUGAUUGGUUGUGAGGCAGACGGUGCUCCCUCGUGAUGUGAGGCACGCUCCACGUCCCCCAAUAAUGUGCAUGAGCCCAAGCAAAGUUAGCGUGCUACAACAUCGGACACUGAAACCAACCAAAAAGUACAGAAAUUUUUCUGAAUCCUCCUUUGGCCACGACUGUCGACAAAAGCAAGAAAACCAAGUAAAUUCUGGAGACUCUGACGGAAUAACAGGCGCUUAAAAAGGAGGUAGACCAGACAAAAGCUAAAAAGCUGGGUCUGGGGGACACUUACGAUCUAGGAUCUUACGGACCCUGUAAUCUUUCUGUUGGAUAGUAAACCGCUUUAACAAAGUAAGCCAAAUGUCUGUAACAGAGGUGUUUUAUGUCAAACGGGACCUGCUGCGUGUUGUAGCGCCGCUAAACCUCGGGUCCUGGACUAUGUGACUUUAUCCUAGUUGUAGAAGUCCUGCAAACAUUGUGUUUGCUGGUUGAAAUGAUACAAGUGAGGACGGAGCAAGGUGGGCAGGGGUUGCUGGAACAGAGAGGGAGGGAAGAGGAGGAGCUGCCAGGGGACCACAGAAGGGCACCAGUUGCAAUAACAUUUUCUCUCCAUAAUUACAAUGUGUAAUUAUGAAGUUGCGGUAUAAAAAAUGGGGGUUGAAAUUAGAACAAUUGAAACAGAAUAUUGCAAAAAGUUUCACAAUCGGCUUUAUAACAGUAAUAGAAGGUAGGGAUUGUUAAAGUCAUGAGUGUAAAAAAUAGAGGACGACCCAUAAAGACUGAAAAAAGACAACUGUUGUCAGAGAAACAGCAGAUGUGAAUAACUACUGUUAGCUGUUAGCAUCUCUCUGUCAUACAGUCCCAGACCCUCUGCUUUCCAUUGCAUUGAGCCUGUCAUUAAAAUCAAAGUUAGAGAGUCUAUGGCUCUGUGAUUACUGAAGGCAAGAAACAAAGUAUUACUGAAUAUACUCAGUACUCUAAGUAAUUGAUCUCACACAGAGCAGUCAUGUUAUACCUGUGUUCUCUUACUGCCCUGAUCUGUUUGUUCUGUUCAACAGUCACACUUUGUUAGUCCCAGUAACAUCACAACACAUCACUCUUACUAACACAGUCUUGUGAGCUGGUGUGAGAACAUAAAGAUAAGUCUGCACUGAAAAUUAUUAGCAAUACAUAUUUGUCAUGAAAAAUGACACUCUGAUGUGGAAACAUGUACUCUGGGAGCAUCCAGAAAGGCAUGCUUGAAGAGCUCUGAGACAGCUACCCGGUAUCAACACACAAAACUUGUCAUGAACAUGCCAGCUAAUCAGAAAAGCUGACAAAGAAGACAGAUUACAGGCUGCUUUAACUGUAUAAACCAAUAUGUCAUCGUGACAUGCACAUAAACAGACCAACCUCUCAAAGUACACAUGAUGUAGCCUUGAAAACUGUGAGUGAGGAGGAUACAGCGUGUACUCUGUCCAUCUGUGAAGUCAUUGAGGAUAAGAGGAGACUGAAGCUUUGAGUGGAGGAGGAUGAUAAGAUGACAGAAAAUACCUUCAUCCUUUCCUUCUUUCAUACAGAUAUUGUAUGUAUUGUAUUAGCACAAAUACACUCUUGUAUGAGUUUCUUGUUUUAUGUUAAACACAAACUAAGAUGAUACAGUAGGAUGUUUAUCCCAUAAUUUUACAUGACACUGACCCUACAAAGAGUUGUGAAAUGGCUCCUGAAUAACAAAAAGUUCCAAGACAACAUAAAAACAUUUUUUUCUCUGUUUUUCUGUCUAUUACUGUUUUUAACAUUGUAGCAUGGCAUUUAAAAAACAAUUUCUUUGCCAUACUCAUAACUUUGUGCAAACAAAUGAAGCAAGAGCUGUCUUUUGUUCCUUAGAUACGAUGCCCAUGUGCUCCAUAACCAGCUCCAUAAAGUCUUGGUUCUCCUGGUUUGAUGUGGUGCUGAAUAAGGGGCCUCCAUGGAGCAGUUACCACAGCCCCAUCCAAAAUUAUUGCUUUGUGCACACAAGACAAUAAAAGCAAAGUUCCUCAGAAACUGUUUGGUUUUAGAAGGAAGGUGAGACAUGCCAGGAACAUCAUCAACAACAACAACAACAACAAUAAUGAUAACAAUAAAAAUAACAAUAAUUAUGAUAAUAACAAAAUGUAUUAUUAUUAUUAUUAUUAUUAUUAUUAUUAGUAGUAGUAGUAGUAGUAUUAAACAUUUUAUUUGUAGUGCCCUUUACCAAGGGCACAAGGGCUACAUCUUAAUUACAAAUAAAUAAAAAAAAUAAAAAUUACAGUAAAGUAAAGAAAUAUAAAAAGGUUAUUGGUUAAAAACAAGAGACAUCACAUUAAAAGAGUAAAAGCAAGAUAAGCAGGAGCAGCAUUAAAACCCUGUAUCUGCCAACACUGGAGCUGCUGAAGUAAGGUGUAUAGGUACAUGUGUGGAGUAAUGUUACACCGUUUCCUAAACCAAAUAAAGCUGACUGGGAGGUCAAGCAUGCAGCUGCUCUGUGUGAAAGUCACAGAUCAUGAAUAUAUCUCCAGGGAAACACACCAAAGACAAAGACUAAAAUGAAGCAUAGCGGUAGUUCAGGCAGGUCACAGAGUCAAGCUGAAGGCUACAGUCAGCUGAUCUUAAGCCAGCCCUGAGUCAGCUGACAGCUCAGGUUAUCACCCUCUUCACAUCCUAUUGGCUAAUGUCAAAAUGGUGCCCUAUUCAAACUGCCUCUCCUGCCUACUCUGCCUGCUGCAACCACUCUGCAACCCACCUCCACCCCAACUCCUGGGGCUCUAUUUUCGUGCCUCGCCAACAAGGCGUUCCCAAGCACAUUUUGAUAUUUUGGUGAGCGACACAGCCCGGUGUAAGUAUCCCCCCUCCCUAACUCAGCUCCUCCCAGUGGCGUGAGUCGUAGAGAGGGCGUGGAGUGGGUUUAACACAGCCGAUACCUGUUUUUGCCCAUCAGGACCGCUCCUCUCCUCACCUUUAAAUCCGCCACCGGCGAGGCGUAUUCCAAUUUUCGUGAAGUAGUCAAAGAGAUCAAGAGAUGUCUGCAGACAGCAAUGCCACACGAUGGUGACAGAAGGCAGCUCCUCAACAAGUGUCACUGUAAACGCUGCAGAGGGCGUCCUCCACACGCUCUCAUAUAAGCACAGAGGGAUUUGGUGUGUGUAAGGUUGGACCCACUGGUAAGACAAACACCCUUUUCAACAAAUAAAAAUCACAUAAAGUUGCAUAUAUUCAAACCUCACGUGACAAAGGUGGGUUGUGCGCACAGAUCACAUCAUAAAUUCCAAAAAUGGCAUAAAAAUCGGAACCAUCUGUGUGUAAAUGACGCAUCGCGCUCCGUGGCCUGGCUCUGUCUUUCAUAUAUGUUGGCAUAUAAAAUAAAUUUGGCUCACAAAACUGAAUAUUAUAAUAUUCGUAUGUAGGCUUAAAGUAGAUAACUCAUCUGAUCACUAAAAUAAAUCAUCUGUUCAGCCGCAGCUGCAGCAGGACGGGGAAAGGACACAGAGACGUGUCCAGGUCGAGCUGUGCGAGAAAUGAGAGGAAGAGGAAGAUAGAAAUAGCGGGGAGACGAAUGACAUAUCUUAUUAACUUAAUCAUAUGUGUUUAUUUACUAGAUAUUUAAUUUAAUUUAAUGCGGUUUCAGCUGUGUUGAUUCCGUCAGGUUGCAUUUCCAGACGCGUGCCAAACACGCUCAUCAGAUCAGAUAUAGAUCAGAAUAUAUCUAUAUAGAUCUAAAUGUAUGUGCUGACUCAGAAUAUUGGCUGUUGUUGAUUAUUUAUUGCACUGAAAUGUGCCUGACACUGUGGAAACCUGCCUGUGCGGCAUCGCUGACGUGUGCGUAAUAUGCCACCGGUCUACCAAAAUACCUCUAGACCAGGGGUCCGUUUCACGUAGGUGGUUCAACAAACUCUGAGUCAAAUCCUUAACUCUGAGUUGAUCUACUCUGAGAUAGGAAACUCUGAGUUUCCGGUUUCACAAUACCUGAUUUGAGACAGUUUUAGCAACUCCGAGUAGUUUGACCUGGAGUUAAGCACGUGCACGCCAGACAUAAACAGCCAGCAUCUGUGGAGCCCAGAUUCAUUGAUCAACCAAUGGAAACAGGGAGAAGGAGGGGGCAGCAGCAAGCCAACGGCGAAUUACAGCACGUUUUUAAAAGAAAGUGCAAUACAGUAGCAGCUGCAAAGGAGAGGGAGAGGGCAUGGGAGGAAAUUGCUGCUCGCGUCCAUGCGUAACUUUAAAUCUAAACUUGUGCAAUCACAAUGACAGACUGUUGCAGGGGAAACUGCGUGCAUGGAGCAAAUUAAUUUAUUUUAUGUAGGUGCAAUCCAGCGGGACAAAAACGCACUUGGCAGCAGCUGAAAAUUAAAUCUAAAAACAUUGUGCAAACAGGUGAGACAUCUGCUUUUUCUCAUUUUGAUCAUGUUCUACAUUGUCAAGUAAGUAUUAAGUGGCAGUUUGAUCCCUUAAAAAAUGCUCUUUUCACACUCAAAAAUGAAUUUUACUCUCUUAUGAUGUUCCGCGGCCGGUCCGAUCGCAAAUCCCCCCCCCCCCCCCCCCGUAGCAGCGAUCGUGGGACCGGUGUGUGUGUGUGUGGGGGGGGGGGGGGGGGGCAGCUACUCUGCCUCCGUUAAAGGUGGGGCUGCUGGCCCACCACCCGUUUUUCUGGCAUCUGCCCUCUUUCUGUUUGCUUAGUGAAAGUCUGUGUUAGUUUAAUAUUCCUAAUCAUUUAACGGAACAUAAUAAGAGAGUAAAAUUCAGUUUUGAGUGUGAAAAGAGCAUUUUUUUAAGGGAUCAAACUGCCACUUAAUACUUACUUGACAAUGUAAAACAUGAUCAAAAUGAGAAAAUGCCGAUGUCUCCCCUGAAACUCUGGGUUUACUGAGUUAAACCUGCUCCCGAGCAGGUUAGGUUCACGGAGUCUGUUAGUAUGGUAACUGACCGCGAGGUUGAGUUACCUCUCUUUGUGAAACAGGUUAGAGUUACCCCUCUCUCUCUGGUUUAACUGACCCUCCUUUGUGAAACAGAAAACUCAGAGUUUCCCUGAUUUCAGGGUUAACAGACUCUGAGUUUCCAUUAAACCUGCUACGUGAAACGGACCCCAGCUGUGCUCCGCCUGCGCUGAAAGCUGACCAGAUUUGAAUCGGCGAGCUUUCAGCGCACUUUACACGGCACUGGCGAGCACGAAAAUGUCACUGCACCAGCUGAUUCUGUCGACACCUCCUCUUACCGUGCAUCCAUGCUCAGCUUGGCAACCUCGGUGCGCCUCAGUCCACGAAAAUACUAAACUGGCUGUGCGCCGGGCUCCGCCAGACCAAAAUACCAGACAGACACCAGUGCAUGUUAAAUUGGGGAUUGCAGCUCAAAAAUGUUGACAACUACUGUGCUAUGUGGAAUUGUGGGAUAGCCUGAUAUCAACAGUGGGACAUGAGUACUCAAGGCUUGUAAAUAACCAAAGCUAUGGAGCCACUAUUUAAAAAAACACAUGAACGUCCAGUAUCACUGAAACAAAUAAGUAUAAAAGUCUGGGUAAAAAAUUAAAGGAGUCAUGAUUGACUCUGUAAAAAUAGAAUUUCAUUUCAGGUCCUAAUUGUGUCUAAAUACAGUGUUUUGGGUUGGUUUUGUAAGGUAGUUUUUGAGAGAGAAAAAAAAAGGGGGUUUCAUGCUCCUAAAAAAAAAAGAAAAAAAAAAAGGAUUUUUGAGAUAGAUAUUUUUCAUUCCACAGCAACAUUACAUUAAAUGGUAGUCUACGGCUCUGUCAUAUCGCAUGCUUUACUUUUGGUAUGAAUGGAGAAGCAUACUAUCUCUUGGGCUAGAGGUGGUAUCACACAUUUACUACCAGCUCCUCUCUAGGCAUGUAUGCUGUUCCACUUUAAGGCCAGAGUAAGAUCUGCAAACUGUCGAGCAUGUCCAGGACUCUAAGGGCAGUUUGGGCUGACUGAAAUGCACAAGUACAUGUGGAAAUCAGUCUCAGCUGCAUUAUUUUAGUUUGUUAGUCCAGCUUUAGGAACUGUGAUUUCAGUCAGUCUACUUAAAACACUUCAGUCACUAAGUUUAGAUGAGGAUCAUGUAAUUAGAAAUGCAGUUCAUCGUAAAGCAGACAAUGGAAAGAAUAGGGAGGGUCAUUAGAAAUAUCCUUUUGUGUUUUGGGAGCUCAUCAAACCAUAAAUUCAACUUCUUCUAGUUGUUAGUACAACCGACGCAACAAUACAACCCAAGAACUUAAUUAAUAUUUUUUUGUCUGGAGUCUCAUGUCAUCUGUUUAUCAAAGAUUAAUGAAGUCUGAUAGCUGUGGGUACAUAAGAUCUUUUGAAUCUCUCCAUCCCGUAGAGAAGAGAGAGGACAAGUCAACCACUGUUGUUUUUUUGCAAUUCGUCCCACAGCUAUGUAAAGACAAUUCCAAACAUGUAAGACUCAAUAAAAACGUAUCAUACGUAAAAAACAAGACAGUGUGAGGUAUUUUAGAAUCAAAACAACUUCUAUGAAUGCUCAUUCACUAAGAAUAACCACUACAAGAAACCAACUUAUCUUAUUUUCAUUUCAUUAGGAGUCAUAGUAUUGAGAGCAAAUCAGCAGAUAGUAUGCAGAGCUGCAGGUCCUAGAGUGUCAUUGAGUAGAGCUCAGUCUCUCCAUAUGUGAGUGUGUGUGUGUGUGUGUGUAUUUAGUUUGCAUUUAGUUAUUCAAUAUUAAAAUAUUUUGCAAGUCUUAUUUUAUUGUUUUAUAGAACUUUCCCUGGGUUUUCACUAUGCAUAUUGCUGCACAUUGUGUUGAAACUGUAAAUAAAUUCAGUUGGACUGCAUCAUGAAUCUGUGCCUUAUUUUGGAGCCUAAUAAACCAUUUUUGUUUUAACAUUGGCCAUAAACAGACGAGGGUGAAGUAAAAUAUGCAGCGCCGUGGAGGGAGCUGCCUGUCAUGUUUGCCCCUGAGUAUCCUCCUUAAAAAACAUUUUAAAAUAUUCCAGAAUUAUUGCGCAAUAAAGAUGUUAAAUGUGUUUGAAGCUGACCUGCGGGCCAUCUUUUCUGAAUGCUCACUGAGUGCAAGUAUGAAUUAGUGCGACGAAUGGAGCCACCAGCUGUGCACAGCAGCCCAGGAGACUUUGCUUGGAACUGUUGUUUUUAGGCAAGGAUACAGUUUGCCUCAGGACUUUAAAUCAAGGUUCCUCAUUCAGACAGCGUUCCACUUUUUCAGCUGGAGCCUGGAGCCAAAGAGCCGAGAGAUGGCAGCCCAUUUUAGGGAUUUUACUAUUUGACUAAGUUGUAGUCUGCUGCAUUUAGUCCAGAGAAGCCCUGGAGAAACCAGGGCCAUGUGCCUGGUCACUGCAGCUGAUUAUUGUCUUAGCUCUGCUGUGCUGUUUUUGGUCUGCUCCAAGAUGUUUGUCAUCAUUUAGAAAUGAAUCAAAGCAGACACAUGCCGGCCCUCUCUGCCCUGCUAUAAUGUGACUACGGGGUCAUCAUGUCCUCGUUUUGUUUUUGUAGGACAGUAUGUUACAAAGAGGGAUAAGGAGCUGGUACAUGUCACCCACACAUGAACCAUGGUGCAAAUGCCCUGUAUACUUCCCCUUAUUAAAAAUGAUUCAAGGGAUAAUGAUUACCAAACGCUGUAUGCUGGUAUCAACACAGCUGGAAGGCGGAGAAUUCAUGAACAAGAUCCAAGUCAAAACAUUGCUCCUAAAAAAGUAUUGCAUUUCUUUUCCUCCUUCGUGCUGUUUCAACUUCUCUGUCACUCUUUAUUCUCUUUCUCCCAAAGACUUGCGCACUGUUAUGGAUUCAUUUUCUCAAAAUCAUUCAAAAAUCCAAAGCAGUCAUAAAACUGAUUUAAUUCAUGAGUAUGAGAGGGAACCAAAAUGAACUGGAAACACAUUUGAGUGUGGCGGCCUGCGGUGCCGGGCCGUUAGCUGGAUAGCUUGUCAGAUGUAAUUGACUUUUUGCUCAGCCUUUCCUGUCACUCCUCACUGUAAUUUCAUAGGCUCAUGCAGAGAAGCUCUGAGAAAAAAGACACUCGGUAAUAAAAAAGAAAUCUGUGUCACAGGUAGAAUGCAUCGGAAUAUUUGAGUAAUGAUGCAUGAAUAUGAAACUGAUAAAAUAAAAAUGCAAGUUAGUUCCUCCACUGCAGCAGUCCUGUAUAACACAAGACUCUGGAGUCAUUUUUGUUUUCCUGUUUCUUGCCUCAUAGGGAUGAGGUUUUCUCUGCCUUGUUCUUGCAGUUGUGUCUAUUUAAGGGAUGUAACAAUUUCAAAAUCUCACUAUUGGAUAGUAUUACAAUAAGUCCUCUGGACAAUAUUUGCAUUCAUACUUAUGAUCGGAGCAGCGUCAGCAGUGAUGCGGACGCUUAACCAAUCAGUCGUGAUGAAGAAAGAGCUGAGCUGUAAGGCGAAACUGUUCGAUUUACCGGCCGAUCUACAUGCCGACUCUCACCUAUGGCCAUGAAGUGGCGUAAUACAAGCGGCCGAAAUGCGGAUCGCAGAGUGGCCGGGCUCAGCCUUAGAGAUAGGGUAAGGAGCUCGGACACUCAGGAGGCGCUCAGAGUAGAACCGCUGCUCCUCCACGUGGAGAGGAGUCAGCUGAGGUGGCUCGGGCAUCUGGUAAGGAUGCCUUCUGGACGCCUCCCGUUAGAGGUGUUCCAGACAUAUCCCACCGGGAGGAGACCUUGUGGCCGGCCCAGGACCAGGUGGAGGGAUUAUAUCUCUCACCUGGCCUGGGAGCGCCUGGGAAUCCCCCCAGAGGAGCUGGUGGAAGUGGCCGGGGUGAGGGCUGUCUGGGCUUCCCUCCUGAAGCUGCUGCCCCCGCGACCCAAAUGAAGCGGAAGAAAACGAUGGCGACGACUUAAUGAAUAACGAUAAUGGAAAAGGCAGUUGACAUAGCUUCGCGAGCAUCCAUGGUUCUGAAUGGCAGUAGGCCAAGCAGGAUUGGCCCAGAAUUACCCUACACCAGCAUUUUUCCCCCUCUUCUCAGAGAAUCAGGAGACAUUCCCAGGCCAGCUAGAAUAUGUAAUCCCCCCAGUGAGCUCUGGAUCUGCCUCGAGGUCUCGUCUCAGGAAAUCCCCAUACAGAGGAAACCAGAUGGACCAUCUCAAUACCACUUCAGCUGCCUCUAUCACUGUUGAGAAGCCCGACUCAGAGCUCUGCUCUGAGUUCUUAACCCCCCCCCCCCAACUAACACCAAUUCACAAGUGGAGGUGAUGCCAAUGAGUGGGUGAGCAACCAAGUUUCACUUCUUUAUUUUUGAAUGAGAAUGCUCUAAGCAUGGACCACAGACUGUAUAUAAUAUGGACAAUUUGGCUCCACCUUCCAUCAUUAUAUGAAUUUUAAGCCACAUUGCUCUAGGUAUUUCCAGUCUUACAGUAACUACAUGUCAUACGCAUUCAGCAGGAGAGUCGCUGUGAUGACGCUUGGCUAAAACAUCGUAUCCCCCGGAUGAUCUAUGCAAUCUUCAUACGCCCAUAGGCUAUAUCAAGUGUCAAUCAUAGAAAACAAGAACCCCCUAAUAGCUUUUAAAAUUGAUCUGUACCGAAAAAAGAAGACUUGAGCACAAACAUCGCAACCAGGGGGGAGAAAAAUUUACAUUCUGUGUAAUAAAAUUCUAAAUUUUGUCCACAGCUCCAUAGGGAUUGCUAGAGGAGGUGGGAUUUGUGACGUAUACUGCAGCCCGUCACCAGAGGGUGCUGUUCUUGUGGUGGCUUUACGCAGUGAGGAGGCAGACGACAUCCAUUCUAUAUACAGUCUAUGGCAUGGACAUGCAAAUUGAGCAACAAGGAGAUUGCUUAAAAAAAUACUUGCCCCGGUUAGAUUCUUCUCAGUUUCAUGUGCUGCACUUUACAAGAAGAAACCUAAAGUGAUGCUGAAAGUUAAUCUUAGUCCUCCUGCAGCAGAGUGUUAUUGAGUCCAACACGCUCUACUCACCUGCUGUAUAUUCAAUGGAAACGGAAAUAUUUUGCAACAUCUGGCAGUCCGUUUUUAUGUUUGUUCGUUUUUGAUUGUUUGUUUGUUUUUAGAUAAAAAUGCUCCCUUGCUCACCCCUCCUGAUGGGGAAAUAACUGUGCUCUCCAUUUGUCAAAAUUUUGGCAUCAAAAAUUUCUUUUAAUGCAUAUUUUUUCACACACAACACCCACUUUCAUCUUCUUCAUCUUUGGUGUUACACUGGUGUGUUUAGUGCAGCAACUCACUAAAUACAGAUAUACAAAAAGGCAAACAAUACAGGUUUGCCCAUUCUGUACCACAGUAGAAGCAUAACAGUUCAAAUCUCUUCAAUAUGUUCAAAUACUUGGCCAAACCAUGCGGUAAUCAAACAUGUGUCUAGUGAUUGAAGUUCUUGUUAUGUCCAAAAGAAUACAAGCUGAACACAGACUGACCUUCAUGUGGGGCUGAGGCUGAUCAAAGAGCAGCAGGAUCUGCUGGUGCAGCAAUGGUGGGAGGAUCUGUGAAGGAAAUAAUGGAAUUCACUGAAGAGCAGUGAUCCACUGACCGGCUGCUGCCCUGCUGAUGCUCCCCAUGGGACCAGAGCACUGAAAGGCAAUGAAGCAAAAGAUCUGUCUGAUGGAGGACUAACACAACACUGCAUGACUGAAUACGCUCUGCUCAUAGGUCUCCAGCACACCAUUACUCUUACCUGUUCAGUCCAGCUCUCUGUGCUCAGAGGGUCACACAUUUAUGCUGCAGACUGCUAUGAUUUGAGAUUGUGGCACAGCUGGAGGCCUGGGACAACAUAAGGCUCAACAGUCCACAAAGAAUCGAACCCACAGAUCAGUAAGUCUGUAUUAAAUCAGAAAAUCAGGAGGUGUGCCUUAGGUGGAACAUUUGUCUGUUAUGUGAAAGAGGCUGCUUAUAUUUCUCUGAAUGAUAGUCAUGCAACUGCUACACUAGCAAAACUGAACUUAGUGAAGUUAACUUAGUGUGCUCAUCUCAUUCCUCACCAAUUAUGACUUUCAUUUAAAGGGAUAUUCUGAUGUAAAAUUAAAUUGGGGUCAAACACACUGUAACAUGGAGUUAGACACCUCCUUGAGAGAUGAAUGUUGCCAACUGCUUGCCUCUCUACUUACACCAAAUUUAGUAAUGACUGCAUAAUAGCAAUACAGGUCUGAGGAGCCACACGCACACCUCAGACUUUAGAGCCACAAAUAAUGCUCAGAACAGCACCUAACUUCAUCAACAUUACAUAUGGGGUCCCAGCAAUAUUACUAGCCAUCAAACAUCUUUUGAGCUUUGCCUGAUUUCUUGAACAAAGAGACCAAACACAACUCAACUAGUCUCUCUCGGCAACAUUGUUUGUAGGGAGACCAUGGAUGAGUCCAUCACCGCGUUCAGCAGGGUGACACAGCUCAAGGAAGAACAUUUAUGAUCAUUUCUUCAUGGAAAUGCAAUCAAACCGAGGCACUAAGGCAGAAGAACUAUCGCGUCAGCCGUGCAAAAUGAUUAACAUGAUGAUUAUUACUUCAAGGAAAUUAUAAAGUAAUGAUCAUAAACAUUCUUCCUUGAACUGCGUCGCCCCGCUGCAGUCAGUGAUGGACUUGUCCAAGCCUUGCCUACAAAGAAGCGGCCGCUGGAAGAGACAGGGUGAGUUGUGUUUUGUCUCUUUGCUAAAAUCAGGCAAAGCUAAAAAGAUGUUUGGAGGCUAGUGCUAUGUCUGGGACCCUAUAUGUACUGUUGAUGAAGUUAGGUGCUGUUCUGAGCAUUAUUUGUGGCUAAAGAGUGGCGUUUUGUUUGGGGUUUGCACGUGGAUCCAGAGACCGCUGUGUAUUGCCAUCGUGCUGUCAUUACUAAAGUUGUUAUAACUAGAGAAGCAAACGGUCGGCAACAUUCUUCUCUCAAGGGGGUACCUAACUCCGUGUUACGGUGUGGUUAACCCUGACUUCAUUUUACGACAGAAUAUCCUUUAAGUUGGAGGGCUGUAUCAUUACCAACUUUUUGACAAGUUUUGCCCUCAGUAGGGGGCAGUGAUCACACAGUAGCUUGUGAAUUACUUGCAAACUUUUUAAAUGACCUUUGCCUUGAAUGCUCUUUUGCUGUGGAAGUUUCAUACACUCAGUUUUCUGGAUUAAUAAUCAUGGGAGACAAGUAUAACUAUCUGCUAAAGCAGCCUUGUCAACUCGUUUUACUCUGUCUGCCUCGGCAGCUGUUUCAUCCAAAUUUAUUGGAUAACAAACCAUUACCACCUGUCAGUCCUGUCUUUUCAUAGUGGCAAAUUAGCGAAGCGAAUAUUUUUUUUUUUGUUAACCUCAUAAAAUCAAUGCAAGCUUCCACGCCAGCCACAUACUUCACAGAGCUAUAAAGCAACUGUAAUUUUUUCACCCCUGUAGAGAAUUUUGCGAACAUUUAAUCCAUAGACUGUAUAUAGAAUGGACAGCGUCUGCCUCGUUGCUGGGUGAAGCCACUCCGAGAACAGCACCCUCUGUUGAUGGGCUGCAGUAUAGGUCAUAAAUCCCGCCUCCUCCAGCAAAGCUUAUGGAGCUGUGGACAAACUUUAGAAAUUUAUUACACGGAACAUAAAUUAUUCUCCCCCCUGCUUGUGAUGUUGACAUGUAGUUAUUGUAAGACUGGUUUGUGUUCAAGUCCUCUUUUUUCUGUGAAGCUCCAUUUUUAAAAGUUAUUAGGGGGUUCAAGUUUUCUUUGAUUGACACCUGAUACAGCCUUUUGGCGUUCAGGGAUUGCGUAGCUCACCCGGCGAAUACGCUGUUUGAGCCGAGUGUCAUCACAGCGACUCUCAAGCCUAACGCGCACAACGUUACUGCGCAGUGCUGGUUUCAGGAAUUGAAGAAAAAUCCAGGAAAUACAGAGAGCUUUUUGGCUUCAAAUCCAUGUACAGGCAGAAGACGCAACCAAGUUGUCCAUAGUAUAUACAUUCUUUGAUUUAAUCAGAUCAAUCUGCUCUCUGUAAUGCAUCCACUCCUUCUGCAAACAUGAAGUCAGCUCAUGGAGCAGUUCUUGAAAUUGCCAGAGGGACAUUUUGAAGUAUUGUCUGAAUUUCUCAGGACACAAUUUAAACCCCUGGAUUGUUGAGGAGCUGCCACAUCUCCUGUCACAUGGUCAGUAUUUGAUGUACCCAGACACUUAGAUGUCUGAUUAGCAAAUUGUCUCAGUAGCCAUUUUUAAUCAGAAUAAAUAAAGUUCUCAGUAGUGGCUUGUAAUAUCUUGAACUAAGAUUUGUAAUGCAGACCUGCACAUCAGUUAUCUAUGCGGUUAUGUGAGGUUCAACAAGACAUUUUAACUCGAAAAAUUUUAAAAAGUCCAUUAGAAAAUCCUUUUUUCCUCUUGACUUUUACUUUUUCCCCUGAACAAUAUAAGCCUGACUGCUUUUGUUAGCAGAAAAACAGUGAAGAUAGAUCAAGAGUUUGGAAAUAUCCGACAUGACCAGUCCCCCUCCUGUGAGCAAGAGUCACAUUUCUGACUAAGUACAACAAAGAAAAGCAACCUUUGCUUUGACAUUAACAAUAAUGUGAUCACCUAUUACUCAGCUGUCCUCACAGUGAGCCUCAAGCCUUAAUGGUGUCUGUUUCACACAGAAAAGGUUAUAGAAAAGCACAUUUUAACAAGUUUUACUAAAUGGAAGGACCGACCUCACCACAAGCUUUCUGCAUAACAUUUAACCUGAAACCACAAGAUCUGGUGAUUAAAACUGUGAAUGCUACAGGAGUCACUUUUAGUCAUAGACCUGCAGAAACAAAGUCAAGAGCUCAGCUCAAAGUUCCAGAAGCUGUUAUUCGACAUGCACUCAGGAAAGUCAUGGAGCCCUCACACCUGCUUACCUUAAGAUUCCCCGCUGAAACCCACAUGAGCCCACCCCAGCUGUGUCCAUAUGUUCUCACAUGAAGCUCAUGCAGUAUUGCUGAUUUAUGUUUAAUAGCAACUUAAAAAAAAUGUCAAAUUAGUGUGAAGGUUAAAAAAAGUAUACUUCCCUUCCUAGGAAAAGUCAUGUAUCUCAUGUGCCAAGACUCCAGUCACUCUCAUUCUUAUUCCAGUCCCUAUUAUUAAACAACAUUUUCUUUUUUAAUCUGUGGGUAACUCUGGUUGUGUAUUUUUUUGAACAACUCACCAACUUGUUUGCAUCCAGGUUAACAGAGUCCACUCCAGAGACACCCUGCGGAUGCUUGCUGAGUGUCAUUGAAAAAUAAUAAAGUCUUGUCCGUGUUUCUCUCUCAUGGAGGAGAAUGUGUGAGUAAGUGUAAGUAAGUGUGGUUGCUGCUGUCAUAUUUUAACAACCACAGCACCUGAUUUUGUUCUUUGUAUGCUGAGAACAGUUUAUUGACUUGACCAUCUGACAGGAAGAAGAGAUUGAAAAUCAUGCAAAUGCAAAAGAGGGCACUUGUCCUUGGAAGUGGGCUCUUUCUUUGUAUUUUCCUCUUUUGAAUGCUGAUGACCUGGAGUCAUUCUAAUAUUGCUACACUGAUGAAGAUGUCCCCAUGGAGACCUUUGAGACAGUUUUACUUGCUCUGAGUCUUGAAUACAGACUUUCUUUUCUGACUCAGGCCAAAAAGUUUAUUCCACUAAUCAUCUGCUUUAAAAAGUCUGUCGACUGGAUGGUAUCAAACAUUUCUACUUCUCUCCGGUAAUGAAUGUUGCAUGUUGUAUGGAUUCAGCAUUGGACAACUUGGCUUCGCCUUCCGCCAUUAUACACAUUUUAAGAUGAAUUGCUCUCUGUGAAGGCCACAAGCCGAAACGCAUCGGCAAAUAAAGUUGUUUUCCUAAACUACAAAUGUUGCUGGAGCUCUUUUGACCUCUUUAAGACCCCUUUUCUCUGAGCACCUUGGAAGUUGGUGAAGUUAUGCCAGAAUUGUUGUCCCUAUGGACAUAACACACAAAAAAAAACCUUUAUUAUUUUAAUUAUGAUCAUAAACGAAUUCAAUGAGUGAUUGCACAAUGUAUGAAACUGUUUCAAUGUUUUUUUUGUUUUGUUUUUUUUGUACUUGUUUUGACUGUAAAACUCGAAUAGAAUAGGACAUUCUGAGGUACUCGUUGAUGUUCAACAUUAACAGGAUGAUCCUGGUGUAAUGUCUCUCAUCUCCACCUGAAUUCAGCCCCUCUCUGUUACAGGUGAAGCUCACUGGACAGUUUAGGGAACCACGAGUGCUUUACUACUCCACAAAGUACGGAACAGUGCCACCCAUCAUAUCAGAGAGAAAACUAGGAGUGACAGAAUAUGUGGUUGAUAGCCAGGAAGCACUUUGUCCAAAAUGACAUGAAAGGAAAAAAGAGUUAAUACUGAUGGAUACAUUAGCAGCCUCUGCUCUCAGUGUGUGAAUGUGGUAUGAAUGGGUAAAUGUGACAGGUAAUGUAAAAGCACUUUGAGUGACCAGAAGACUAGAGAAGGAGCACAUAGACACAACCCGCUUGGAACUUGGCAUCAACUGGGAAUGUAACCAAGAACCCGCACGUGACUCAGGAAUUUACCAGGGACUUGUUGGCCUUGUUGAACUAAGUUAAACAAUAACUUGGGACUCAAUGGUCAUUGGGCCUGUAGGUUUCAUAUCGAGGCCUGACACUGGAUCUGAUGGACUUGACAAAGGACAUGUUGGUCUUGACAUGGGACUUUUUGUGUUUCACUUUAGACUGAACUUUGAUCAAUUUCUCACUGUAAAACUUGGGGUAGCUUGACACUUAGUGGUCUUGACAAAAGACCACACUUCACCAGAUUGUGUUGCUGUACCUUAUGUCAUUGAUUAAAAUGAGGAUCCUUUAUCAAAUAUUGAAAAAGUUAAUCACAUGUAUGAAGUCAAUAAAGAUCAAAUUGACACUGAUGACAAUGUAUGAUAUUAACAAUUAAGAGACAAAUGCCAAUGCUCAUAGAAAGGCAGAAAAAAACACUCUUUGACGUGCUCACAUUGUCCCUGUGUCAGACACAUACAUCUUCUACCUUAGCAUUUCCUGCACACACACUGUUCACACACACACACACACACACACACACACACACACACACACACACACACACACACACACACACACACACACACACACACACACACACACACAGAGUCCUGCUACAAAGAAGCUUCCUCCCAGCGACCUGUCAAUCUCAGGGCAGCAGUAUGGGAUUUAUAUAAUACUCCAUUGAUAUUCACGAUAAGCUCCACAUGCACCUGUGUGACUCCAGUUUGGGAAGAAGAAUCCUUGAUGUUUCUGACAUUUGUUCGGAAAACAAGCAGUAUUAUUCUCAUGCUGGCCUAGUGCGCAGGAGAAGGGAAUCCUGAUGUAUCUGACAUUUGUUUUGGUAGCAGAGGGAACAACUGGAAAAAGGUAUUUUCAGCUUGUAUAUGAGCUGAAUGCAGUAUGAGUUACUCCUGCAGAAAGCCAGUGUAUAAAUACUGCAUCAUUUUGUCAGUAAGUCAACCAGUGAACUGGUUAGUAGCACACUGGUUUUAGGUGUAAACAGUCCAUUAGCACCACAGUGAGUGUUAUACAUUCAUGUUCCAAAAUUAAAGGAUUGUUAUGUUUUUACUGAUGUGUUGAAAAUUUGAAUUGUUAUCAGAGAAAGCUGGUUUUAAAACUUCACAUAAUUAAACAGGGAAGGUUUGUUUGAACUUCCAGACCUCAAAGCUACGCUGUUUCUUCCUGCCUCAUUUUUUCUUAUUAAAAGAGAUGAAUAACUUCCGAUUCAAGUAUUUAUGAUUAUAGAGAUGCAAUACAGCAGAAUAGUCUAAGCAGUGAUUCCAAGUGUCCAAGGUCACAGAAGUCCAAGCCUGUUUGUUUUCAGAACAGAAAAUAUGGUGACCCAAAUUUAGAUAGAUGAUGUGUCUGAAAAAAUAAAUAAAAGACAAAAGUUAAGCAUGUAAACAAAAUGAUAAGAACAGAAGUUAGCCAUAAGAUGUUACCGUAAGAUUUGUUACCGUAAGAUUUGGUGUAUGAGACCCACUUCUUAAACCCAUUUUAUCAUCCAAAUAAGUGACCUGUGUCUGUAAUAUGACCGAUAUACAAGAAUAUGGUAUUCUGUUGUGUUAUGGUGUUUUACCCCAAAGAUGAUGCUCAAAGAAGCAAGUAACAGUUUCGGUGUUUAAAACAUGCUGGACACAUGGCAUGGUGAGCCACUUUUCAACCCCUCUCCCUCUUUGUUCAUAAUCACGCAUUCAAGGAAAGAGCUAGUAGAAGUAGACUAACUUUACAGAGAGCUGGUUAGGAAAUGGAGAGUCUCAGUGCUACAGGCGCAUUUGUGCCUCACAAAGAUCAACAAUAGUGUAACCUGAGUCCAGCUAUCAUAUAGGUAGCUGGCAGUACGGUGAUAACAGAUGGUACUAGACGGGGCCACACAUCUGCAUAGAAGCUCCACACAGGACAGUUCAAGUCCUGCCUCAACCUUUUUCCUCUCAAACAGCCUCAGUCUCUAAACAGACUGUGUAUUAUAAAGCAGUGCAAUUUAUGUUUCAGAUAUGAUGGGGCUAAGAGCUUGAACAUUAAUUUUUUGCCAAACUCUUCUAUUUCCUAACUAAGGUCAAUUGUUUUGCACAGUCAUACAUCUAUUUCAGUUUUUUUUUUAAACUUAAUUUUUGAUUUUCCCUGUAGAGUUUUUUUUUUUUUUUUUUUAACCCGAGAAACCAGACUGUUUAUGUUUUAUGAACCUCUCAUAACUGUCUGAACUGUGACCAAGAGACAUUUUUGUCAGGCAACAUAUUCAAAGUGAUCAUGUAAAUAUAAUAAAAAUGAUAAUGUCUUCCACAGGAGUUUGUUUAAAAGUUUAUCUCAUCAUAUUUAAUCUCUUCUGCUCUUAAAUAGCCUGAUUUAUGUGUUCAGUGUGUGACUCAUUUGAAACUUUGACCUGAAAAUAUAUCUCAAAUCCCUGCUGCUUCAACAGUAACAUGUUGAUUGUAGACAAUUUACAAUGUGUAAACAAGCACAACAUAAUCCUAAUCACACAAUCAGUCUGACAAUAAUGUAACCACAUAAGUAUUAUGCAUACUUCCUGCCCCUACAGCAAGAGCGACACAGCUUAACACGUCAACAGUGGAGCACAGUGUGAACUUCCUCUUCUUCGUCUCUGAGUCGACCUCACAGCUCUGACUGCUCCAGCUGUUGCUAACUCUGAGACUCUGGCGUCAUCCGCCUCAGGAAAGAACAACUGUAUGUACACGGUGUUUGUGAAGAACAGAACAAACUCAAUCUCAGCCUUGUUUUCUGGGCCGCACCUGCUCUCUCUACUGUUGAAGACCCACACCCUGAUAUAAACACAGAAGCAGCAGAAGGAGACAGAGAUGUAGGAGUACUAUGACUGUCAAUGUUUUUUUGGAACUGUGCAACAAUCUGUGUCAUCUAUUUUUCUUUCUCCCACACAAACUUGUGCACAAACACAAGCAUCACAAAAAAAAAAAAAAAGGCUGGAGCAUCAAACGACUUAUGCCUAGUUUUAGAUUAUGGAUGAUUUACUACACAAGAGUAAAAUCAUAUGCGUGACUUUUCCAUUUCUCUGACCUUGAUGAAGUUUUUGGAUAAAUAGUCCUGUCUGUUUGUCAUGUGCCUCCUCCUGUUUCUCUACUUAAUCGUUGUUUUCAAACCUGAGCUUUUGCAUGGCACCACCGCUGCACUGACACUAUAUAAUUAACGGACUUGUUGUUUGUUACACUGUGCUCAUUACCAUUGUGUCUCUUCUUUGCACAGCUGUUUAGCGAGAGAUUCCUCCCACACAAUCUUUACUAAGUUGGUGUGAUCACAUGCUGUACUCAUAACUGUUUUAAACAUGGUUUAAAUAUUUUAUAGCCGUUUGUCUCCUUAAGGAGUGAUUCUGAAGUUGCAUUGAUGGACUGGGCAAAACCAGUGAUUACCAAAGUAAUCAACCCUCCAUGGGUUUACUGCAAAGGUUUUACAUUGGCAGAAAACUCAAGGACUGAGGUUCAGGCUGUCCCCGAAUAUGAGCCAGUCGUAAAGAGCCAUGGGCUUAAUGCUAAGAGGCUGUUUUUAGAAAUGAUAAUCUUUUGCCUUACUAUUGUCUUUGAGGUUUAUCCCCUCAUGAGUUAAAAUUAUGAGGGUUUUUUUUUUCUUUUAAAUGGGACCAGGGUGAACUGCUGGAACUGGACCAAGUACCUCCAAGACUAAGGGCAGCACCUAUAGGGCUCAAAUGGGCCCCUAUAGGGAUGCGAAUUACAUAUCUUGUUAACUUCAUCAUGUGUGUCUAUUUACUGGAUAUUUAAUUUAAUUUGAUGUGAUUUCAGCUGUGUUAAUUUGGUCAGGUUGUGUGUCCAAACGCAUGCCAAAUGCACUCAUCAGAUCAGAUAUAGAUCAGAAUAUAUCAAUAUAGAUCUAAAUAUAUGUGCUGACUCAGAUUAUUAGUUGUUGAUGAUUAUUUAUUUCACUGAAAUGUGCCUGACACUGUGGAAACCUGCCUGUGCGGCAUCGCUGACGUAUGCGUAAUAUGCCGUCGGUCUACCAAAAUACCACUAGACCAGCUGUGCGCCGCCUGCGCUGAAAGCUGACCAGGUUUGAAUUGGCAAGCUUUCAGUGCACUUUACACGCCGGCGGCGAGCACAAAAAUGUCACUGCACCAGCUGAUUCUGUCAACACCUCCCCCUGCCACGCCACCACGCCCAGCUUGGCAGACCUCGGUGCGCCACAGUCUACAAAAAUACCAAACUGGCUGUACACCGGGCUCCGCCAGACGAAAAUACCACUGCGCGAGGUCUGCCACCCUCCGCUGCAUCCCCCAGUGGACACAGAAAUAGAGCCCAUAGUGUCUAGACACUGACAAAAGGAGCACAGCAGCAGCAGAAACAUGUAAACUUAGAAUAAUAGGAGGAAGAGGUCAUAGGAUCAUAGGCUGCUUUGUGGUUUGUAUUGGCCAAAUAAACAUGAUGAUGAUGUUACGGCUGUGUGUUUGUUUUGCAUGUGUUUUUCCCCUUUUGUCUCUCCAUAGCUGCCCAGGUGAAAUCACUUGAGUGCCAAUCAGACUCACCUGGUGCUGGGAGUCUAAAAGCCCAGAGCUGCCUGCAGUCUGGAGAGGCAUUUGGUGGGGAACUGCUGCCCUGCUGCCCUGCUGCCUCUCAUUUGUGUUGUGGGUGCUUUGUGUCUAGUUUGCUACUUUGUUAUUUUGUCACAAUAAAUCACGUGUUAAACAUUUGAUGUUUGUUAAUUUAGUGGGUCAAAAGUUGAGGAUUGUUGUUAGCCCCAUAGGGCCGCCUAAGGGUGGGGCGUAACAAUGAUGAUGACCCAUGUCCUUCACACACACACACAGAGCGCCUGGCGAGUGAAGUGGAGCGUGGAAAAAAGGACGAGUGGAAAAAAGUCAACUGAAUGAAACAAAACAAAUACAAAGGAAAUUAAAUCUUUAUACUCAGUCUACGAAAUUAACACUGGCUACAACACCAAUCCUCGUGUCAGUCUUAUGAUCCAUUUUGCCCUAACUCGUGCUGAAAAGGACAAAAUGGUUAAAAGUGACACUGUUUGUAAACCAUAAGUGCUUCUUUCCAGUUGAUUUUAGAUAGUUAUUGAGAAUAAUACAGUGUACUUCAGGCACUGUGCACUGUUGAUAUGCUCUGGGACUGCAUUCUCGAUUUGAGGUGGGACCUCAGGAUUAAAAUGUUGAGGCCUGCAUAUAACCCUCCAGUAUGAAUUAAAAUAGAGGUAAUGAAUGACUCUGAAUGACAGCAGAUGGAAUUAGCUUGGCUCCCUAGCCUCACAAAGGGAACAAGUCACUCAUCAUCUGGACUGUUUGUGGCGCCUCUUUCUUUUUGCUAUGUUGGUGCAGAUUGGAAGGCUCCUGAGUAAACUUGAUAAGUUUCUCAAAAUUUGCUUUAUUUUUCAGUUCAAGCAUGCAUGUGAGGAUUUGGGUUGCCAUUUGAUUGAAAGACAAUUGUAUCGACACUUUUAAGCCACAAGUUAACUUGGACUUUUUUUUUUUUACCUUAACCAACUUAAUAAAAAAUAUUUCGGGUUAAAUCCUAACCCGACUUAUCAUAAAGUAAACAGGAAAUUGAUGCGUAACCAAAGUGCUGUUAAGUACUGAAGGGCCUCUCCUAACUUUAUACUACUUUGCUUUUGUUUUUCCCUCCUUUUCACCUUUUGAGUGACCUUUAUGCACAGUCCACAUACACUCAGAUAAUAGCUACAAAAUGAGCUGAAGGACAAAGUGGUUGAAACUGACAUCUUCAAAACCUCUUGCAAAUUAAUAUCCGACUUUUUGGCUCUGGUUCAAGUGUCUUGGUUGAGACACUGAAACAAAACCACUCCUUUUUUUGUCCCUGCUGCAAAAAUUAACAUUUUGGUCACAGGGGAUUAACACUGAGGGAAGAAAAAUGAAUCAGUUCUGGUGUCUGGUGCAUGACAUUGUUGUAAAGCGUUGUUGGAGUUCCUCUGAGAAUUAGUUUGCUUCUUAUCAAUGCCUUGUUCUAAUAGAGAGAGUGUCUGUGUGCUGACAGAGAGAUAGAGCGAGAGUGAAAGAUAUGAUACAAAUUAUAGAAAUGAGUGCAGAAAAGAGGAAGAAAAGAUGGUGAGAUAGUGUUUGAAAGGCAAGAAAAGGCUGUAAAGGAGAGAAUGGAUGGGCUCAUCAUUAUUGGUGUCAGUACAGUCUGAUUCAUUCUGGUAUCUACUAUUAUCUUGUUCUGGGAGGAAUUCAAACUCAUCUGUAUUGUCUGCACUCUGAUUAGGAACAAUACUGGAGGCAUGUGUGAACAGCUUUGCUGCAUGCUGAUCAGUGUUCAUUUGCACUACACUCAGUAUUUAUUGUUUGCUUUGUAUAUGUUAUAUAUAUAUUUUUUUAAAUCUGAGUGAGCAUUGACAAUAAUAGUAGCAUUUAAUAUAGAGAUUGAACGUCAUUUUCUUCUAUUAUUGAAGCCAAACAUUUAGAAAUUGUUGUUUAUUCCUGUCAGGCAGGCUAUCAUUAUAAACACCACAGACAAUAUGAAAACACAAAGUAUCACUUUAAGUGAUAACAAAGUUAGACUUCUGCAGGUGAAACUUUCUGGUCCUAAGUUAUGUCAGCAGUGAUGUCCACAUUAUAACCUCUCAAGGUUAGUCUCAGUUGCUCAGUAUCUAAAUGCAUUAUGAGGAGUUUGGAAUAGAAAUAUAACAGUCUCAUUAUUAUUAAACCAGAUCAUCAUGGACAUAAACUGUUUAUUCAUUAGGAUCUGUGCUCAAAGCUGGAAACCUUGUGAAAUCUCUUGUGGUCAAACUUGUCUGUUAAAAUGAUAUUCCAGCGUAAAUUUAAGUUAGGGUCAAACACAUCAAAACACCGAGUGAGACCCCCCUCAAAGAUCAAUCUUGCCGACCGCUUGCUUCUCUAGUUAUACCAACUUUAGUAAUGACCAGUACAUAUAGGGUCCCAGCCAUAGUACUAGCCACCAAACAUCUUUUUAGCUUUGCCUCAUUUCUUUAGCCUCAGCACCUCGGUCUGAUUGCAUUUCCAUGAGGUAAUCAUCAUAAAUGUUCUUCCAUAUCAACAUUUGCUUGCCCCCUGUCAGUCAAGUCAGCUGUGCCUCUGAUCUGCCAAUCUCAUUAUUAUAGAAGGCUACCUCCAAAAAUACAUCACUCUCCAUACAGUGGGUGCUGUGGGGGCCCUGAGGUAUUCAGAGUCGAUGUGGCUUCCUCCUCCACCAUGUGUUUGUUGUUCAUGUAUCAGUAUGGGUUGUCUUUUUUAGACGUCCGCCUAAGUCCAUGAGUUACAUUUACUGCCAUUGCCUUAACUGCAUUUGUUGAGCUUCUUUCUCUAGUCAGAUUGGUUUCUGAUUGGCUAUUAUUUCAUUCCACGUGACAAUGACCAGCUGUCCUUGGUAAUCAGCCAGACUCACUUGUGGUUUGUACCUUGCUUGAUAUGUACCAAGGCCUUUCUCAUCAGUCAGCUGUAAUUUCCUGUCUUUACAUUUUACCAAGCAUGGCUUGGAAAUAAGUAGGUUGAGACUUUUUGUAUAAAAUGUUCCUUUUUUUUUUUUUUUUAAAUUAAUGAAUGGUGUUCUAUGAGGUGGUUGUGAAUAAUAGUAAGGGCUCUAUUUUGGUGCCUCGCCGGAGAUCUGCCGCAAGCGCAGCGUCAAUCAGAUCCGCCGCGCUGACAAGGCGUUCCCAAGCACAUUUUGGUAUUUUGGUGAGCUGCGCAGCCCGGCGUAAGUAUCCCCCCUCCCUAACUCAGCUCCUCCCGGCAGCAUAAGUCGUAGACGGGGAGGAGAGAGGGCGUGUAGUGAGUUUAACACAGCCGAGACCUGUUUUCACCAAUCACAUAAGCUCCUCUCCUUGCCUUUUAAAUCCGCCACCGGCGAGGCGUAUUACUAUUUUCAUGAAGUAGUCAAAGAGAUCAAGAGAUGUCUGAAGACAGUUAUGCCACAAGAUGGCGACAGAGGGCAGCUGCUCAACAAGUGUCCUCCACACUCUCUCAUCUGAGCACGGAUGGAUUUGGUGUGCGUAAUGUUGGACCCACUGGUAAGACAAACACCCUUUUCCACAAAAAAGACACUCACAUAAAGUUGCAUAUAUUCAAACCUCACGUGACAAAGGUGGGUUUAGCGCACAGAUCACAACAUAAACUCCAAAAAUAGCAUUAAAAUCGGAACCAUCUGUGCGUAAAUGACGCAUCGCGCUCCGUGGCCUGGCUCUUUCUUUCAUAGAUGUUGGCAUAUAAAAUAAAUUUGGCUCACAAAACUGAAUAUUAUAAUAUCCGUAUGUCGGCUUAAAGUAGAUAACGCAUCUGAGCACUGAAACAAAUCAUCUGUUCAGCUGCAGCAGCAGCAAGACGGACAGAGGACACGGAGACGUGUCCAGGUCGAGCUGUGCGAGAAAUAAGAGGAAGAAAGAAAAGGAGGGAGACACAUUACAUAUCUUGUUAACUUCAUCAUGUGUGUUUAUUUACUAGAUAUUUAAUUUAAUUUGAUGCAGUUUCAGCUGUAUUGAUUCGGUCAGGUUGUGUGCCCAAACGCGUGCCAAACGCGUGCCAAACGCGCUCAUCAGAUCAGAUAUAGAUCAGAAUAUAUCUAUAUAGAUCUAAAUGUAUGUGCUGACUCAGAUUAAUAGUUGUUGAUGAUUAUUUAUUGCACUGAAAUGUGCCUGACACUGUGGAAACCUGCCGGUGAGGCAUCGGUGACGUAUGUCGAUACGCCGCCGGUCUACCAAAAUACUACUAGACCAGCUGCGUUCCGCCUUGCGCUGAAAGCUGACCAGGUGUGAAUCGGCGAGCUUUCAGCGCACGUUACACGCCGGUGGCGAGCACGAAAAUGUCACUGCGCCAGCUGAUUCUGUCAACACCUCCCCCUGCCACGCCACCACGCCCAGCUUGGCGGAUCUCGGCUCGCCUCCGUGCGACUCAGUCCACGAAAAUACCAAACUCACCUUACGCCGGGCUCCGCCAGACGGAAAUACAACUGCGCGGGGCUCGCCGCCCUCCGCCGCCUCACCGGCGCGAACGAAAAUAGAGCCCUAAGUGUACUGCUUACAGGUGAUCUCAGCCUCCUUGUGUCAAGUUGUCUGCAUAUGUCCACAUGAAGUAUCUUGUCAUUGUCACUGUCAGAAUCACCAACUGCUCAGGUUGUAUUUGUCUCCAAUGAAGCCUCAGACCCAACGAACAGAUCAGUGCACUGCUGGAAGAGGAACAAGUACCUGUUUUUAAACAAAGUCUCUCUCUGACUGCAAUGCCAAGCUUUGAACAUUUCUUCAAAUACAGAGGACACUGACACUGACAUCAGUAUUUGGGUGAGAGUUUUUUGAAAUGAACUAAAUUCCUGUGGUAAAGUUUUCCUUGUCUAAAUAGAGAUAUAGAAUAAUAUUCAUUUCUAUCUCUCCCUCUACCCAUGCCACGAACAGAUCUGCUUUAAUACGACAUGGCUGGACUUUAAGCUGGUUUUUAGCCACAGGCUUCAUUCAGGCUUUGGCAAGAUUUAAACACUGGAGCAACAUACACUAAUAAUAUCAGCGACUGCCUCAUCCAACCUCAUGUACAUCAACUUUAUGUAAAGUGCAAGCAGGUAAUCAGGCAGUCAUGCUCACAUGCACGUACCUCUUCAACAGCCUAGUGUGACUCAUGUCAUUAUUCAGCAGUAUUCAUUCUUGUAAUUAUAAUUCAAUGACAAGUCCACAUUAUCACUCUCAUGCCUCCUGGCCAGUUCAAGCUGAAAAAGGCUCCAGGCUCAUGUUGACCCUGAAUUAGAAUUUAUUCAUUUAUAUUCAUCUAUAUGUUAAAUGAAAGGCUACAGCAUAUGUGUAUAAGCAAUGGUGAUGUUUACAUUUUAUCUUUGUGGGCAUUAUAUAUAUAUAUAUAUAUAUAUAUAUAUAUAUAUAUAUAUAUAUAUAUAUAUAUAUAUAUAUAUAUAUAUAUAUAUAUAUAUAUAUAAAGCUGCUGUCAGACACAUGCUGCACAAACCAAACCCAUUAAAGUGUUCAUAAUACAGCAGUGGGUUUUUGAUUGGGGGCUGUGUGCAUGUUCAUUUUGUUUGAAUUAUGGAAAAAUGUUCUAAAAUAGACAAGGAAAAACACACUGGACUUUCCUCUCAUGGAAAUCAGACCAUCCAUCCACACACCAUGUCAUGUACAUGCAAAUAUAUACCAGCUAGAGCAAUGAGAAGUGAUGCUUUUUUAUUCAAUAUAAGCACUCAACACAAAUACAUCUUUACAACCAUGUUCUAUAGUCUGAACUUUCAAUGAACGUAUGUUCAUGUUAAAUUCCCAGGACCUCACAAAUUUAAAGACAAAGUGUUAGACUCACACCCAUUUAUUCUAGGUGUCCUAAAACUGAUCUCAGCUAUUACAUCAGCUAAGAUCAAUUAGCUUACCUGGGCAAUUUAUAAUUGAUUGAGCAUUGGCGAUUUAAGUGGAUCAUCUCACCCUAAUCAUAAUCAUGUGAGUGGUCAUAAACAAAUUACAAUCAGCAACCGAGUUAUUUGUGCAAGUUCCCCACAAAUUGCACUGCUGCAGAACCGUGGCGAUUUUUGCCAUCAGCCAAAUCCUACCCGAUGCGUUUGGGAAGGGAAUUUCGGACAGUGGGAAUCGCGAGGACUCACAAGAACCCACGAAAUUAUAUGCAAGCGCACGAUAACUAGUAGUGCCCAUAGUGGUUUAUUUUGAAAAGAAGCUGGUUGUUUUAUUUUGUAUGCAUGCCUGACUUCCUUUCCAGCACAGGCUAAUCUGUGCUGAAUUUAUACAGCAAUAAAAAUAGAACCCUGGCGAUCAGCUACAAAGCCCACUGAAAUUGCAGCCUAUGGAAAUGCCAUGGUUCAAAGGGGGGAAACACUUACAUAUGCAAUACAUAUGUAAAACGAAAGGACAAUAUGCCACAGUAGAAACCUUGUGAAUGACACAUCAGCAGUGUGGACAUGUUUUAAACUCCAAGGUCAAAACAGUUCAACAGUCACUUGACUCUAACAACAUGCAAGGCAGUAGCAGUAAAGCUGCAAAACCGCCAGUUGGAUCCGACAUCAAAAACAUGCAACAGUUUUCACAGACAGAGAAGGAAGCCAAGGUUGUUUCUCCCCCUAAAGAAAUAAAAAUAGAGGAAAACACAAGCAUCAGCUCAGGAUUCGGUGCCAGAGGGGAUGAGGGGCCAAAGUGCUGAUCACGAUACUCCAAUAUUUUUUUCAUGGAUGCACCCAGUAGGAAGAACUGGAACCAAAGAAGCCUGUCUAUCAAUUCCGUUAGCUGCCUUACUCACCUCCCAAAACAAAGUGGGGUUAAAUAGUCCUCUGUGACCUAACAGCUCCACAGUGAAGCCCCUGAAUCAUAUACCCAAUUCAACAGGCAUCUUAAACACACACACACACACACACACACACACACACACACACACACACACACACACACACACACACACACACACACACACACACACACACACACACACCAGGCUUUGUUAGUCCUUUGCCUGUAUGUUUUUAUUUUAUGUUUUAUUCAAUCAUGCAAUAACACUUCAAUCACAAAAGAGACAAAGCCAUUGUUUGGGAUAGAGAGCAGAUGAUUCAGAGCAGUGAGAGGUUUUUGCAGUGUUGGAUGAGAACUGUGCACAUAGCAUGGUAGAGGUUGAAGUGUUGGAAGAACGGGGUUUAGUUUUGGUGGACCACCACAAAGUGCUUUGUGGUUAAACAGACCCAAGCUUCUCCUUGGCUAGGGCAAAGAAGAAAGGUUUGGAGUACAGUGGGAAUUCUUCAAACCCAGAAGAGAAGUCAAAAUGAUAAAUCUAUCUCAAGGAAAUCAGUCUUUACCAAAAUUAAAUAUCCCCACAAGGAUAAAUAAUAUUUUUCUUAUCUUAUCUUAUUAGCAGCUAAUCAUGAUUUUUUGCAGCUGCAGGAUCUAAAGUGAGAAUAGUCUUAUUAAGAUUACUGAGUCUUUAUAAGGCAAUUCAUGUUGAAAAAUGUGUACAUUUUAGAAACUGUAUUCACUGUUUUCAAAAACGAUGUUUUCUGCAAGUGUGUUACAGUCUAGUAUGUCAAUUUAUCUUAAAUGAGCAAGUAAUGGCUCAGCUCCAAAGUGUGCAUGAGGCAGAAUGGACAGACUGGACAAGUUGAUUUCAGGUAGUUGCAUGACUGAGUUACAAGGCUCCCUGUAUGGUUUCCUUGUGCAUCUAAGCAAGGAGUGUUUCAGUGCCUUGAGAGGAAGGGAGGAUGCAGAACAGUGGUGAGAAUGCAGGUAUUGAUCCCGCUACCUCUCACGUGCUAAGCGAGCGCUCUACUAUUUUAGCUAAUUCCCUGGUGUACACUGUUCCCAAACAGAGUGGAAAAACACCAGAAAAGCUGCUACUUUGUUAGCUGUUAGGGCCAGCAACAGAGAACCCGAAUGGCUGAGAUUCCCCUUAGAGUACACGAGCUGGCCGAGUGGUUAUGGCGAUGGACUGCUUAUCUAUUGCGCUUUGCGUGUGCGAGUUUGAAUCCCAUCCUUGUUGUACUUCCUUGUAGUUUAUGACACCGCCUCUGCAACUUGCAUGGAACUUCUCUUCUACUGCAAAACUUGCUUCAUCCAGUCAUUGGAGUUUGCUGCCAGCAACAAGAACGAUGUGCCAUGAAGUGCAUCUUGGAACAGGUCACUACCCCCUGCAUGCUCACUUUUCUGUAAGGUACCGCCCAAUGCUGCCCCCUUUCACCCAGUGGCUGUGGUGGCAGAGAGGAGGUCCCUGAAAGGGUCUAUGAAAUUUUUGAAGACAUAGAAGUAAGAGGCAAUGGCUACUGUAGCAAGACAGAUGCUUUUUACUUAGCAGAUCAGAAAGCUGCCAGACAAGUGUGGACUUAAACUAAUUUUAUUAAGCAUCCUGGUAUAUAAACUCUGAACCAGUUUCUAGUUAGAGCUGAGAAGUGUCAUUAAGCAGUUAUUAAUGUGUUGAUUUUCCUUUAACACUGAUUAACAUUAAUCAAUGUCAAUCAGCACCCUAUAAGGUCUUGUAAGUGGUUUAUUAACUGUAAACUAAUGCCCAAAGUGGUUGGGGUAAUUCCCUUUUAUUUAUAGGCAGGCUUUUGGUGUGAUAUAGGUUAGUCAGUGUGUGAGCUCACUUUCCUGGCAGAGUCAGGUAAAAAAGCAGAUUCAUACGCACUGUGAUUUCUACGGCUGUUUUCUCAGCACACACUCUAAACAGCAGAAGAGUAACUGUGCGGUGGACCUCAGGUUUUGGACCAGGUGUUUGUCGGUCAAUGGCACAGUCACAAGAAAACAAUGUGCCACUCUGCACCUGACCAAACCUUAUUUUAAGACCAAGACACCCGUAGGGCAUAAUGUGGGUGCAGACUAAUUUGAUAUUUACACAAUGUAGGCGCAUGCAGGGCAUAAAAAAUGACAGUGCAUCUGAUGACUAAUAGCAAUGGCACCUGCACUAUGCACCAAGAAACCUUAGAAUAUGGUCCUAUGUGUUCUGCAGGAAAGAGCUAUCUCUUUUCAGUCUGUUUUUCAUUUCAACACAAUCAGACAUCCAGUGAAGAGGAUUUAAGCAGCGUUUUGAGGACAGUCAAAAAGUGUUUAACAGAUUUACCCAAAUUUAUUACAAUGAUCAGAUGUCUUACCUUACAGUUUUCAGACUUCAUUUCAUGACCAUCAGCUCAUCUUUUCAUCUGUUUCAUUUCUAGCUCUGCCAACCAGCAUUGCAGCGUUAAUGUUUCAUGGUUACAGGCGGACCAUGUCAUGGACAACCAAGCAAGCUGAGCAUAUGACUCAUCUCUGUUUUAAUCAUUUACACUUUUAGUCCACUUGUUCCCUCACUUUUUUUAAGUAGCACCACAUUAAAAAAUCCACUUUACCUAAGUGGGCAGUGGUGUAUUUAUUCCAGAGGCCUUUUCUGUGGAACACUUGUAUUUAAACUCCUUCAGUGAAGCCUUUCCAUAUGUUGACCUUUACCUCCUCAUUUUACCUCAUUCAGUUAAAGUGAUAGCCAAUGGAGCAUGUCAGCAGCAGCAACUCUCAGUACAGAUGUAAACUCAAGCAUAUCAAGUUUCCAGAUCUUGGCUAUUAAACAAAUAUUACUCACCCCCAAGUUGGUAAUUGUGUGUGCUUGUGUGCAUGUGGGUGUACAGCAUUGUUGUUUGCAAACUCAAUAGCAUGUGCAAGCUGAUCUACUAAACAUGUUCAAUGAGGAUUGCGUCUGUCGAAUGAGUGAAACAGCACGCGCAAUGCAUUUAGCAUGUUUGCCUUCAUGAAUAUGCAGAAUGUAUACAGAUUAUGAAAACACGCAAAAUACUGGGAGGAGGAGGUGCAGGAGGAGAUGCAAAUGGAAUCAUUUAGCACUAGCGAUAUGAUUUAUCAAACCUAAAAUUGGAAUGUUGGAAAGGCACGUGCAAACCAGCACAGAAUUGGGUACAAAUUGCUGCGGUCAUUGUGGCGAGGAGGAGGCAAAAGUGCAAUGAUAGACGAAGAGGGUAAAGAGUUUUUUGUGUGCGUAUCAACGUAUCUAGACUGGGAGAAAUUAAAAUAGAAGAGUAGUAGUAAAAAAAAAUUCAAUUUUUGAGCUGCCGGGUGACCUAAGGGCUGAUUUGGGGCGAGUCACAAAAAGGAUCCAGUCCAUAUCUCCUAUUGAAAAACUCCUUGUAACACUGCAUUUUCCUGCAUCUGGAUCAUCAGAUGCUAAUAGAAACUUGUUUCCAUGUUUUUGCCAGUUAUUUAUAAGCAAAUGUAUGAUGUGAUUUCUUCUUUAUAUGAACUGGUGUUACUUUUUUUAUUAGAGUUAUUAAUAAUAGAUAAAGAGUUCAAUCACAACCCAGCAUUUAGCACAGUGGGGUGAUUAGUAAGACAUUCGUAGAUUGAAAUAAACUUGUGGUAAUGGUUCAUAAAGUUCAAGCUGUAGGAUGCUCCUUUUAUGUUAGUUUUUCCUCCUUCACUUACUUCCUGACCUCAUCAUGUUUACAUUUUCAUUGAAGUCUUUCACUCCUAGCUCCCAACAUUUUAUUUUUGUCACAACAAUUGCAGUCACUUGAACACAAAAACCUGCACCACUCAAAGCUUACCUCGUACUCAAUACUACGUUGUAUAAGUAAGUGUGCUUUUGAAGAUUGAAUGCGAAUACUCAAAGAUUUUAAGUGUCCUUGCCUGUGAAAUACAAGGACAUAUCUGAAUACUUUAAGAGGAAACAGUCAACACUUUGAAAACAGACUCACUGAGAAAUAAUCUUAUUUAUUGUCAAUGCAGGAUUUGCAAGUCUUGAUAAACAGCGGUGGUGACAUCUAGACAGAAAGGAAUUGAAAAGUUAGGCAGAUGUAUAACUCUUAUGAACUGAAUUGUUUAAAGACGCAUGAUACUUAAGUUUUGAAAUAUUCUUUAGUAGACAGAGCUUGUUACCUACUGAGGAGCAUGACUUUGGAAAUCAGUUUUGAACACUAGAGGGACUGGGUUAAAAAAAAACAACUGAAACUGUGGAAUUAUUUUCCCAGUGACUCAUGAAGGACACUACCAGCCAAAGUACCUCUGCACAUGCACAGUGUCAUCAUUGCAAAUGUUGCAGCAAUAAAGUGACAUUGCCCAUUUUAUGUACAGUCAGUUGUGGAAACAAACAAUGUGAUACAAUCAAAUAUUCUUCAAUGUUUGAUGUGUUGUGUCUAAAUCUUUGAUUUCCCUGGAGGGGAAGCCAAUCCACAACAGCUGGGUCUACAGGCACCCCUUCAGGACAGGAAGGACUGAUGUAGAGUUUUGAGACCAAUCCUCUUCUCUGAAGGUGGAAGUUGUCCUGAAAGUGACCUUAAGACAUAAUAGCCUCAUCACAAAUGGUAUCCAAAUAAAAGAGGGUAGGUACCACAGAUUAUACCCAGGAUUUCUUGGCAUAAGCGAAACCCAAAAUCUGAGUAAUGGACAACAGUUAUUAACUUCCUCUGUUCACUUGCACAUUUUAACAGUUUAGUCUAAAAUCUGCAUUUAGGUCCUGACUAUUUCGACCAGCAGGUUUGGCGAUGAAAGAAAUCAGCUUCUCAGAAUCUCUGUGAAUUAUCUAUCAAAUUUCCUUCUCUCUCCACCUUUCUCUUGGAUUAAGGGCAUAUGACAAAGCACAAAUUUCCAAAUACCCUAAUUAGCCACUCAGAAGAAAUAAUAGGAUGAUGAAAGGAUUGCACUAUCAAAGCAGAAGUCGCAGAAAGAAAGUGAGACCCGCUCUCCGACUGCUCUCAUCAGCAGUGGGCUAUAAUGCACAGCGGAGAAGGAAGGCAGGGAAGAUGAUGACUGAGGGUUUUACACAGAAAGGUUUGCAUCUUUAUGCAGCACAAAGACUUAGAUUUGUCCUGCAGUACUGCAAAGUCAAGCAAAACUUAAAAAACUGAAUUACUGAAGGCACUUUCUGGCCUCACACGCUCUUUAACAGAUCUGCAGUGGUGAGUGUAUUACAAUAUUCAUUGUGAUGUAUUGUGUGGUGUGACUGCCUGUUGCUGCUUUUCCUUUUUCCCCUGGGUGGUCUACGUCUCAUUUAGUAGGAAACACAUCUAACCAUCUCUCUCUCUCAUUCAGCUGUAGUUUUUAUGUAGAGGUAUAAAAGCAGGAACAAUGAAACAGCAACAGGAAGAGACAAUUUCAAAUCUAAGACGAAAAACAAUAACAGGCUACAUCAGUCCAUUCUGAAGAACACUAUUCCUGAAUCUUUAUAGUUUUGCUGAGGCCUACAAGGCAAGUUCUUUGGAUUCUGUUUGCGUGACCUUGUAAAGUCUAAUUUGUGUGGUUGCCUCAUAAUGUGAAAAAAUCAAACAUGAUUUAGACAAUCAAAUGACUUUAUUAGACAAAGUCUUCAACAACAAAGAAGUUAACCCCCAAGGUGAACUCUGCGAGUGACAACAGAGAACUCCUUGAAAGCAGAACAACCCUGAAUGAAUGUGUGAAAGAGAUGGAGGGAUGGAUGGAUCAGACUUCUCUAUUACUGACAUUUUUUUUGUCUUCUUUUUGAAGUGUGAGUGUUUAGACGAUGAUGAGCAGGUAAAUUAUGCAUCUGUCUGAUGGCAGAAAAUUGUCAUUGUGAGCUUGUUAAUCUUACAGAUUAAUUGUUCAUUUUAAAUCAUUACAUGAGCAAAAACUCAGUUUAGAGCAGAUACAAUAAAAAUGAGAACUCAAUAAACUUCUGCUCUUACAAAAACAAAGCAAACAUCAGUAAAUCCAAAUGUCCGAAAUUUCAUUGAUCUCUGAAAGAGAAUGUGAAUCCCACAUGUUAACUUUCUUUGGACUUGCCAAGUCAAGGCCGUUAAAAAUAGCCAUGUUUGUUAAAGGAAAGAGAGUUUGAUUACUCUCUAAGGCCUCUCACUCUAAGGCACAGAAUCGCAGGGAGUUAACACUGGUGUAUUUGUUGAAAAUAGUUUUGUUGUUGUUGUUGUGUCAAACGAUAGAAAAUGUUUUAUCUUCUCUGACAAAGAAAACUUGUUGAGUUUGAAAUGGCAGGCACAGUGCUGGUUAAGUAUGAUAAGUUUAAUUCCCUCAGGUGAAUAAAAAAUGUGGGUGGUAAGAUUAAAAAAAAUUGUUAUUUUCCCUCACAGAGGAUAUUCAGGAGGUCCAAAAUAAAUGGACCAGUAACUUCAUUUUCAAGUACUGAAGCUUUUAUCAUCUCUUACAGACUAAUUCAUGAAAAAAUGGGAACCUUGUGUGGAAACCUUGAUUUUAAAUUAUCAUAAGUUAUAAGCCAAAUUGUCCAAAUAAGACAAAAAAAGCUUGAAAUACUUUACUUGUCAUCCAACAAAUAGAACACGUGAAAGUUUAAGUUGUGAAAAAAAAUUAACCAAAAUAAGAGCUUUUAAUCUAUUUAUACAAAACAGUCCCAUUUUGUUGAAAUCAGCUUUAGGUUUCCACUACUCUCAUAAUUGUGCAAUAAAAUAAGGGUUAAGGUGCUCUUGAACAUCCAGGUGUCUCGCCCACGCACAGCACAUGUUAUAUUUUGUUCCUAAUGUACUUUCACAAGCGAGUCACGGAGGCGUAAUGUAUUUCUGAUGUGGUUUAGCAGUGGACCCUAGAGUUGCUUCUUUGUUCCUACUCUUCCAGGUAGUGUCUCAUGCUGUGUGGUUGAUGUCCAAAACCAUUAAAGUCGAGCUCAACGUUGCUGCACACAGACAGACACAUAUGGAAUAAACCAGUGGAGGCCUGGCUGGGUGUAUGAAGUGAAUGACAUCAUCCACCCAUGCAGCCAGCGUGGGCUCUAGUUCACAUUUCCUGUGGCUGUCCUGGAGCCCUGAGCGAACAAACAAAUUUCCCAUGAACUGCAUGUACUUUAACGUUCUAAUCCUGCACUUUUCCAUGUCACACAGACACAUAGACACACACACACACACACACACACACUGAUGAGCCUGCCACUGUUUUAUUCAUGUCAGACACACAUGCAUCCCGUAAAUACACCUACAGAGGUCAGGCAUACCAUAAACCAUUAGGUUCAAAGGACAUGUCAGUAUGUUUGAGCAACACGCAGCCUGGAGCAUGCAGCCUCUGUCUCCACCUGCUGAUGUUUAACUCCCUCCCAGUGUGUGUGGUCAAUUAGAGCACUUAGUUCAAGAAUACAUCUGCUUGUGUGAGCACUUACUUUACUCCUCAGUGUGACCAAUCUGCUGCUCCUGACAGUGAUAGCAAUUGUCCAGCCUGUCAUGGUGCUAAUGAAUCACUUAGCUAACACAAACACACACAUAUACACACUCACAAUACACACACAUUAUGUGGCCACCAAGAUAUCUGCAUGUAGUCACACUUAUGCAACUGCCCACUGGCAAGGCGCCUCUUUAAUUACUGAGCUCAAGUGAACAUCUGUUCCUGUCAUUAUAAUUAAUAUGGACUGUAUGUUGACUGAGACAGAGCCAACCAUUUAUCUCUGAAGAGAAAUCAGAGGCAACAAUACGCAUUUUAAAUGACAGUGUCUUAAUAUCAACAAAGUGCAUCUUUGUAAACGAUCAUCAUUCUGUUCUCUGUUAUAAGAUGUUAAGCACGUUAUAACAUCAUUAUUAUUAGUAGUAGUUGUCGUAGUAUUUUAAAAACAAGCUUUGCGUGUUGCAGAUGUAAGGAGAGUACAGCUGUAUUUUCAGCGUAUUCUUUAUAGCUGCAGGUGAAGAUCAUGAAAUAUUGGCCCCUUUCCAUCAUGGAGCGACAUGACUCAUACUCAGAGUAUAACGCUUUUUCAAAGGACCGUCAAGACUCAAUAGCAGACUCCAUAGCUCAAACGUUAUUGAUUUGUGGAUUUUGAAAAGGUUAACUGAACCUGGUUGUAGAUCCCAUCCCUACUUACAACUGAGUUUCUGAUGUGAGCUGACUUUUUGUAGGUUUUUUUUAUUACCACCUGUUUAAAACCUGAUAUUUCUUAGCCGUUUCUUUGGGGCUGUGGUUAUCAGGUGUCUGCAACUCAAGCCAGUUCAUCCAGCUCCUGCCAUCUCUGGACUUUAUUGGAUUGAGGACCCCACAUCAAGAGCUUAGUUACAUUUCAUAAUGGCAUCAGGUCAAAUAGGUCCAUGCCAUUUCAGGUCUGCAUGAACAGUUUAUAUCCAUGAGAAAAUUAAAAUCAAUAAAUUUCUCUGACAGGCUGAGUUAGCUGAGGGUCACCAGUCUGCUACAAGUGUGUUGUGGGUACAUCUUUUACUGCCUCCAUGCAUCCCUCUCAGUGAUGCUAAUGAUUUUUGUUUAUUUGUUAUUUCUUGCUGCUUUUGCCAUUAAUAACUCCAUGUCAAAACCUUGAUUAUCCUGGUUUGACAAAAUGUUAGAUAGCAUAUUUUGUAUAGUUUUGCUCAUCUCUUAAUUAUCAAAGAUGAAGAUGCUGUCCAGAGUGUCAUGAACAGUCUGUUCAGCACUGUUGUGAAAGUGCAAUCCAGCCCUUUUCUUGAAACUCCAUCACUGCCAAAAAAUGAUUUUUAUUGGAUUUUUUUUUUCAUCUUGGCUAAGAGAAAAUGUCACUCUAUAAAUACUUUUAUCAAUGUGCAAAGACUGCACAUCAGCAUUGUACUGUUGUGAGAGUCCAGACAUCAUAGUUCAAGUUGGAGAGACACAGGAUUAAGUGUUAGGAAAAAACAGUUCAUGAUUAGCUGAAUGAAUGAGUUGAACAAGAGACUACAAGUAAAGACUAAAAUGUUCAUGACUUAAAUUAAGUUCCACUUAAAUCCAACUGUUUAUCUUGAUGCUACCUCAAAUUUUAAUUUAAUAGAUUGUAAUUGUUGUUUUUUUAAUCUUAAACAUAUGAAAAAAAAAAGGAGUCUGUAAAGCUAAAUUAUCUCUGCUGCACUUCAGACCGUGUAAAAGGAAAGUUCUGUGAGUUCUUUAAAAAGGACGAGAGAUUAUUUGUGUUGUGUUUGUAUCAUAGACUGUAUGUACACUGUCUGCCUUCUCGCUGGGUGAAGCCACUGUGAGAACAGCACCCUCUGUUGACGGGCUGCAGUAUAGGUCAUAAAUCCUGCCUCCUCCAGCAAUCCUGAUGGCGCUGUGGACAAACUUUAGAAAUUAAUUACACAGAGUAUAAAUCCCCCGACCCCCGGUUGUGAUGUUGACAUGUAGUUAUUGUAAGACUGGUUUGUGCUGAAGUCCUCUUUUUUUCUGUGCAGCUCCAUUUUUAAAAGUUAUAAGGGGUUCAUGUUUCCACGAUAGACACUUAAUACAGCCUUUGGGCGUAUGAAGAUUGUGCAGCUCACCCUGGGGAUACACUGUUUGAGCCGAGCCUCAUUACAGUGACUCUCCCACGGAAUUUGUACAACGCUACUAUGCAAGUGGUGGUUCCAGGAAGUGGAGAAAAUCCUGGAAAUACCAAGAGCAAUUCAGCUUCAAAUUCCUAUAAUAGCGGAAGGUGGAGCCAAGUUAUAUACAGUCCAUGGUUUGCAUCCCAUAUGAACUAAUUUUUUGUGUACCUUUACAUCUCUAUUUUUUUGUGUGUGAUACUAGUUGGCUUUGAUUUCUUGACUUGUUUCUGAGGUGUGCUGUUUUAGCCAACAACAAUAUUCAGGGCAAGAACAAUAAUUAUAAUCUCUGUUUUUAAAUUACAAGAUUAAGCACAUCUGGCUCGAAGCACAGGGACUUUUUGGUAUGUUAUGCUCUUUUUUUUUCUUUUUUUUUUAUAUGAAGGGAAAAAAGAUGUGACUUCUUACAUAUCAAGUGAAUAAAUGAUUUCUUAAGAGUACUGAAUUCUGCUCAAACUUUCAUAAAACAAUACUAAGUUAUUAAAUUCCUGUAACUUUCUGUGUUUAUGUAACAUGUAAGGACAGGGAUGACAGGGAUGUCAUAUGUUUAUGGGUGGAUUUUGGUUUCUAGGUAAUCCUCUAUCAUUAGAUUUUUAAUCAAUCCAAUCUGCACCAUAUCUUCAAACUGUAUCAUCUGUUUGUAAUUAAACUGGAGCAGAAUUUGGCGGAAGUUUACAUGAACAGUGUAAGGCACAUUGUGACGACCACCUUGCAAUAUUUACAAAUUGAAGAGCUGUUGAUAAAUUCCAGUGAUAACUGAUGAACUAACCAUAUCUUUACUGAUCCAUGUCCGUCUGGACACAGUCUCCACCUGAUCUGUAGCUACUGAUCAGGCCAAAUAAUUCAGGACCCAUGGACAGCUCAAACCCACAGCUGUCAAAAAAAAAAUAAUUCCUUUGUGCCGCAGGCCAUUAAAUGCCUAAAUACCCAAAAAGCCAUAGUUAGUCACCUACAGUCUGCUCAGCUGGUCUAAUCAGGUUAAAGUUGAGACUGAGGAAGUGUGAUUAUGAUGAUGUUACUUAUUUUUACUGUUAAUUACGUGUGAAAGUUGUCUACAUGCUGUUUUAUUUUUAUAAUUUUUUUAUCUGUACUGUUCUUGAUGAAAUGCCAAAUGUGUGAUCUGCUGCAAUUCAAUUCCCCUGUGGGACAAAUAAACUACUACUUUUACUACUACUACCCUCAUUGAAAAUCGCCAUCCAAAAACCAGCAGUGUUUAUGCAAUCCAUUAUGCAGCAGUCUGUAUGGAGUUUGGAGUCUCAUCAACAGUGGAUUAGAAAUACCUAGAUAUUAUUAACAUUAGUCAAACAGCUGUCAAGGCAAGAGUAGCUAAAGUUUAUUUGGACCAGUUACUGACAGCUAAAAAUGACCCUUAUGGUUCUUUUAAAGGUGUUUUAGUGCCAAUAUAAGAGAACAAGCUGACAGAAUAGGAGACUCUGAAAUGCAGAAUGUUGACAGGCGACCAAAGGAAAAAGUCUACGGUCUAAGCAAAAGUGUUGUCAGGGGCGACAGACAAAUAAAAAGAAGACAGACCUACAUGAGUGUAGGUUUGUGUUUGUUUAAGAGCUGAUACUGUCAGUCUGUCAGGGCUGUUAUCUGCACUGUUACUUUAACACCUCUAUUUUAAAACACUCCAAGUUCUCACUUCUGUUUUGCUGUUUGUAAUUUGUCUUAUAAAUGUUGUAGGGCCUUUUUUAAUUGUCUUCUUUCAUUGGUUUAUGUCCAGUGUAGUUAGCUUUUUGCUGAAGUGUGCUUCAUAAAUGAAUUAGUCUUAUAUGAUAUAAAAAAUAAAAAAAAAAGAUUCUACAAUAUUUUUUGAAUGCACAAACAAAGUUUUUUGUUUUUUGUUUUUUUUUGUGCCAAUCCUCAGAACUUGAAUCAAAUUGCCUUAAGCCAGAGAGAGGAUGCAUCUUUACUCUCUGCAUUUCAACCCACACUGAGCAGCAAUUCUCGCACUUUUGACGAAAGUUCUCUGGUUUGCAGUCAUUCUAGGGUUAUUGACUAGAACUAAAUUUAGGUCUUGUGUUACAUAUUUUCUUCAUUUUAUAUGUCUUGCAUUUUUAUUUCAGUGUACACUAUGUAACAGGCACCGCAUGACCUGAUCUCUAGUUAAAAAGUACAUCGUGGGAUGUUUAUACUGAACCUCAGCAAAUUUCAAUACACACGGAUGUUUGUGUCAUGCUCUCCUGUUCUGUUGAGACUAUGUUAGAGGAUAUAUCCACCCAGCAGCUCCAACAUGGCUGAGCUUUCAACAUUUCCCUAACCCAAGAAAGUCCAUCUCAGUGCUCAGCUUUCCUCCUCUGCUCUUCAUUGUUUCAGUAUGUCAAAGUAAAUUGCUUCCAAGUCUUGUAUUGGAUUCAAAGGACAGUCACAGCUAGUAUCUCUUUCCAAUAAUGAAGGCACCAAAAAACACUGGUAAGUUUUCAUAUCUUUAAAAGCCAGUAUGAGCUGGAUUUGCAUCUCAGCUGUGAUAAUCACAAGUUGUCAGUUACAUUAUAAAAGCAGAUACAGAAGAAAUAGCUGACAUGUUACCACAAAUAAAUGAGAGCUAAAAAUAUUUCUGACAUUGUAGCUAUGGAAAACCAUGAAGCGUUUCAGGCAGAGGCUAACCCCCAAUUUCCACUGCAUCUGGAAUGGCUACAAAAAGGCAGUAUCCGCCAAUCGCAGCUGAUCAUAACCAUUCAAGUUAAUGUGUCAAAUUUCCACCGGCUUCUUUCUGUUCUGCUGCGGAUCGCUGGGCUCCACAGCUGAUCACAAGUGUUCUAUUUUUUUCCAGACGCCAGAGCAUGCCGGUUAAAUUCAGCACAGACUAACCCAUGCUGGAAAGGACACAAAAUAAAACAUCCGGCUUCUUUUCAAAAUAAAACACUCCAUGUUUCAGGCGGAUCGUAUUUCACACCAUGCAAACGGGCAAGCAAGUGAAAGGUUUUUAGACAGCAUUUCAUCCUGAUGACACCAUGGAUGAGGGGAUGCUGAUUUUGGAAGACUAGAAGUAAAAUUCCACCUCUGGAGGGACACAAUCUACUGCUUAUAUGGUUAGCCUAUGUGGCGAGAGACAACUUGUAAUCUCGCGAUUGCAUGUGAAUCCGCGGGUUCUUGUGAAUUCCCACGAUUCCUGCUGUUGGUAAUCUGACACAAAAUUCAUCUCACAAACGGAUCCAGUAGGAAUCGGUGGACGGCAAAAAUCGCUGACAUUCCUGAUCAGAGCCGUUCUGGAUGCAGUGAAAAUUGGGGGUAACUCGUGCUAGAACAGGGUUUGUCUCUAACUCAGUAUAAGAUAUACAAGGAGGUUUUUGAGCUGAAAAUCAUGUUAUGUUUCUCUAUAGGUGACCCAAACUGACGUAAUGAAAGGUGAGUACAAUGAAUUUCCUCUACAAACUGACCACUCAGAAUUAGAGUUCUUCUUCGCUCCAACAGUCAUGACAAAUAAAUGAAUAGUGGAUUAUCUUUCCAUUCUGCCAGAUGAAGCUCACCGUUCCAGUCUUCUGCUUUGGUUUGAGUGACACAUUAUUUGUCUAAGACAAAGUUUAUGUCCUCCUGUUUAUCAGUCUGUGUGAGUGCGCGACUGCAUCCUCCCGUGUUCUCUCUGUACCCGCCAUUGGCCGCCAGGGACGCACAGGUGAUAAUGGAUGUUUGUAUCCUGGGAAAAGCUUUGUCUGGAGUCCAGAGAGAGAAUGACCUGCCAUCCUCAUUCUGCAAAGACUACACAGCUCACAGUGUGUGUGUGUGUGUGUGUGUGUGUGUGUGUGUGUGUGUGUGUGUAUUUUGUCUGGGUCCUAUUUGCUCAAAUUAAAUUCUGCUGUUGGGAAUGGUCACUGGGGAAACUCAUCUCCAGGUGGGAAAACAUUCCUGUCAACUCUGUCUCUGGUUGUUGUGACUUUCUAAAUCUCCUGACAACUAAAUUCCUCAAAACUACCUGAGCUAUUAGCUUGUAAAGUUAGAAAGAGAUGACUGUUACAAUGCCCGUCAUACUUGGUAUACUACCUCUGUUAUCGUAGUUUUUGUUGAUUUGUGCCACUUCAUAUGAAAACAGUCUGAUGUUGGCAGCAUGUUCCAGUCAUUUCUACAGAAUUAAACUACAAUGACAGGAUUGCAGUUUUCUGAAUGAUACACUAGAAAAAAAAAAAAACACACACACAUGCAUUUUCCAUCUCACACUUAUAUUCAUCACGAAUGGUGAGGGAUGCUACACAAAAUGUUCUUACACAGUGACUGCUACGCCUGAUGGAAUCAUUUAUGGCUCCAUCCACUGCACAGGGAUGUUGUGUCCCUUCUGUACAUUAACUUGCUGUUUUUUCAAUCCUUACUAUUGACUACUAUCUUUUGUAGGUUUGUGGGGCCACUAAUAGAAAACUGUCACAAUGUUUGUCUCAACUAUUUUCAUAUUUUAAGCCAUCAGCAUGCUGCAGGUGAAAACAGAUUUGCUGUUUUGUUCUUUGGAAACAAAAAAAAAAUAUAGAAUACAUUAAAGUUGGGUUGAGAUGCAGUGAGGCUAAGUCUAAUGGAUGUAGUUUUACCCCUUUUUCUCUUGAUUAACAUGUAUUCAGUGUAUAAAUGUUAAUUUUGUACACACUGAACCUUGGUGACUGUUCUCAAUCAUGUUUUAUUUAUUAUUUUGUUUAAAGUAACUUUCAAAGACACACCAGUCUGUGAUUGUUUCAUAUGCACAGUCAUUUAAGUUUUACUUGUGCCUCAAAAUGAUCAACUUCAUAAAUAUUUUCCUCAGGUCAAAACCACAAAGUUGCAUACCCAUACAUUAUGCAUGUGCUCAUAAAUAGCAAAAAAAUUCAAACCAAUCACAGAGUAUUUUUUAAAAGGAUCACAUAAUGUGAAAGUGCCCUUAAAGGCCCACUCCAAUGAAAGUCAUGUUUUUCUUGUCAUCUACAUAUUUAUAUGGCAUUUUUCUGAUGUUACAGGACAUAUCAUGAAAACUAAGUGCGAAAUUGCAUUUCUGAGUUUUUCUGCUUUCAAACCACUUUUAAUCUCUAGCAGACCCAAACGGCAGGUUCAGACACAGUGAGAUUUCCUAGGUCAUGUAGCAGUCAAGACAACCCUGGGUGUGAAACUCACACAUUCCUCGCAGGAAAGUUUUCUUAUCUGGUCCCUGGACACAGGAUUUAAAUCUUUCCAGACUUGUUUGCACUUUCAGGUUACCUAAGUGACCCGACCGGAGGUUGACCAAACCUCUGACUCUUCACGAUUGGUCAAUUCAGAGAACAGAGACAGAGUUUUUAUUACCUUUCAAACUGACUCCAUUGCCCUUAUACUCUUGUACCUCUUUCUCUUACACCUGAUUCUUCACUCACUGUCCACACCCUUCUGUGUUCCUCUUCUUUGUUUUCUCUUAGCUCUUUUUCUUAGUCUUUUAAGUGUUACGCCACGUGUUGAUUCACAUUGAUUUUUCUUUAACAUCGUCUUAGAUCAAGUUUUGAAACUUCAACUUUUUGUGCACAUAGCAAUUUAAGAUUAAGCCUUUGAUUGAUUUUUCUUUAGUUUCACGAAGCCAUUUUUGAAAGUUUCCAUUGGUCAUCGAGCCUCUUUUUUAUUCUGAGUUAUCUGCGUGAUUUCAAAGUCACCUCUGAACGCAACCCAGCAGGCCCAGGUCAUCCUAUGUGCCAGAGUUUUUGAGUAAGACCAAAGAAGUGUCCAAACGAGCAUCCACGGAAUCCACAGGACUGGCUUUGCUUGGGGCCCGAGUGCUGCAACUCCUGGCUCAUCCUUCGGCUGACUUCCGUCAUCUUCUGAGCCGAACCGCUCGAACCGCCGGUAGCCCCGGACCUUUGGAACCUGCUCCAUCUUCUCCAAGGACGAGUCUCACUUAAGUAUGCAAACCUCCAGAGCUCCAAAGAGGGCUGGUGCUGUCUCAUGUGUUCAUAACUCAGAUAUCCACUUAUUCUAGUAAUCUUAGAUUCCUCCAAAUCCACAUCCAAAUUUAUCUCGACACCAAAGUUAGUGUAGGUUAAUAUGUUAGAGCAUAUUCACUCACUAUCAUUAACUUUAGUGCUCCUAGCCUGACUCAGAAUCUUUAUUUAUUCACCUAUUAUUAUUUUAUCCUCAUUAUCUUAUCAUUUAUUGCAUGUAUGUUGUACCAUCAUUUAUCCUGUAAUUAUCCUGUAAGUUCUUGUCUGUUAGUGUUCUUCCAGAAGUGGAGUCCCCGAAAUGAGAAUUCGGCUUAAGAUAUGAGACUGAUUAAUUAAUGAUUGACUUCAUGUUUGAUUUCUGAAUUAAACUUUAGUUUUUCUUUAUUUUCCCACCAUUAAGGGUGGGUGGUGCCCUUUUCAACGAGUGCAUAAAUGUCAUAAUUUGAGAUUAUUAAUCUUCAGACUUUUUUUAUAAAUUCAAAUUGCUACAGUCACAACUCCAAGCCCCACCCACCGAGCCCUGCCAAUCACAGAGCAUUUUUUAAAAGGAUCACAUAAUGUGAAAGUGCCCUUAAAGGCCCACUCCGAUGAAAGUCAUGUUUUUCUUGUCAUCUACAUGUUUAUUUGGCAUUUUUCUGAUGUUACAGGACAUAUCGUGAAAACUGAGUGCGAAAUUGCAUUUCUGAGUUUUUCUGCUUUCAAACCACUUUUAAUCUCUAGCAGACCCAAAUGGCAGGUUCAGACACAGUGAGAUUUCCUAGGUCACAACUCCAAGCCCCACCCCCCGAGCCCUGCUAUGCAUGCCACACCCUGAGAAGUAAAGAAGAUGAUCACGCAACAAGCGUGUGCGUUAGCAAAUUUCAAUGCUCGUAAGACAGCUAAUCAUGAUAUUAGCUUUCAUCAUGUCUCCAAAGACUUUAGUGUCUGAGAGCUGAAUAGUUCCUAUAUUACCUGCCACUUCUACUGCACCAAUGUAGAUACCUGAUGUGUUCAGGCUGCCAGAUCAGCUCUGGGCCCAGCGCCUAUUAAUGAUGUCAGGCUACAUGAUUGGCUGGAAGUUGGUUCGGAUGGCAUAGAAGAUUGUGGUUGGUCUGGACAUUACACGAGCGGUUUUCACCGGAUUAGGUUUCAUGGGAUUGUAGUUCUGCAGAAAAAACAUGGCCGAAUUUUUUGAAGCAAUCUAUCACAACUUAUCAAUGGGGACUUAUGACUUACUACCACCUCUUUUAGGUUACCAAAGGAAAUGUGAAUGCAAAACUAUUUUUUUGAUAAACAGAAAUCCUGUGUACAUCUUUUUUUUCUUUUUCCUUUACAAAAGUCAACAUAUACUGUGUAAUUUAAGCCAUUUAAAAAUUACGAUACAGUAAGUUGUAAUUCUCUGAAUUAUAGAGACAACGUUUCAAGGUCAAUUAAGUGAACAAACAGAAAUAAAGAAAACCACGAGGGGCUGUUGACUGAGCACAUUUGACUUAAUAAAUGGAGUGCAAUGUAGUUUGUCCGAAUUUAACAGGAGCUGGGCCCCGAGCCUAUCUGGCAGGCAGCACACAUCUGGUACCUACACUGGCAACAUUCGGCUGCAAGCUAGCUUCAAAUUGAGUGUGCAGAGCAGCACUGUCUCCGCCCUUGACUCAGACAUAAAUUGUUAAUGAGCUACUGGAGCUCUGCAGAAGAAAAGCCCUUGAAAAUGACACAGGUAAAGUGAUUUUGGCUCAGUACUUCAUAAUCACAAUUUAACGACCACUGAUAGAACUUUAAAUAGUAUAAAAAAAAAAAAAAUUAAAGGUAGGAGUGGGACUUUAACCUAAAUAGUACUUGAGCCAAGGACCAAAAUUUCACAUAUCGGUACCACCUGGGUGGGCAAAUUCUAGUUGUGAUUUUUUUAUUGCUAUACAUCCCUACAAUAAGUUUUUAUAUGAUAGACCUUGGUAACUGGUAGCUUUAUUGUAGUUAUCACUCAUUAAAGUAAUGGAGUGCAGCUGUUCAAAAACCAAAAAUCGCCUUCCUUCAAAAUUAGCUUUCUUUCAUUUUAACCUCUCAUUUAGGUGUGUUUGAACUAUUGGCUAGCCAUAGAGACUUGUAAUAACCCCCUAAGUAGUAUUUCAAGUAUUUUAUCUAAUACAGGUGUGUAUAUAUAAGCUUCAAUUAGCCAAUUGUCAGGUCUAAAUCAAGGUCUAAAUUAAGGAUAUUAUGCCAGUAAAGUAGUGGACCUGUUUCAAAUCCAAACUGAGAGAUCCUUGGACUUAUUUUACAUGUCGAACACACUCUUACAACUUGACUGUUUUCAUAGGUGAUAUUUGAUGAUUUUUAAAAACAUAUUAUCACACUCUGGUUUUCCAAAAAGGAGAUAUUAAAUAUCAAAGUCAAAAUAUGAGCAUUUACUUAAAGUUACAAUUUAAUAGUUUUAUUUUGUAUUGUGUGGAAACUGUAGCACACAGAUAAAACUCAUUGUCAUCCUCCUCACGUCGCCUUUUUUUUUAGAUCCACCAGGCAGUGAGACUUCAACAUUGUUGUCUUCUUCUUCAUCAUCAUCAUCAUCAAUCAAUCAAUCAAUCAAUCAAUCAAUCAAUUAAUCGAUCAAUUAAAUUUUAUUAAUAUAUUGCCAAAUCACAACAGUGAGGUCUAGACCACGCUCAUUGUUUGAUGAAUUACAAAGACCCAACCUUAAGGUGGGACAGAUUUGACCCAUCUCAUCGGACAUGAGUGACAGUGGCAAGGAAAAACUUCCCUUUUACAGGCAGAAACCUUGAGCAGGACCAGACUCAUGUCAGACAGCCACCCACUGCAGCUGGGUUGGGGAGAAACACGGAGGGAGGGAGGAAGGGAGGGAAGACAGGGGUAUGAGAAAGAGAGGGGGGGGGGGGGCAGAAGUAACAUCUACGCCAUCAUCCUCACAUCCGCCUUCUUUUUAGGCCACCAGGCUGUGAGAAGCCAUCUUCAUCGCUAUCAUCCUCCUUUAAAAGCCAAAUCAAGACAUAAUUAUUUGCACAAGCUUUUGUUCAAUGUUUUGGGGCUGCUAUGAUUGUUAAUGUUGUUGUCUUGGCCUUUAAAAUUUUGGAAAUUUAAUAUGUACAUUUUUACUUUUCGUUUAUGUAAAGCACUUUGUGAGUUUCUGUCUGUAAAAGUUGCUAUAUAUAAAUAAAGUAUAGUUACUUACAUCAUCAUUGUCCUCACGACGUCUUUUUCUGGACCUUCCAGGCGAUUGGACGUAAAAAUCGUAGUAGUCCUCAUUAUCGCUAUACUCAUCAUCGUCAAUAUCAUCGUCUUCAUCCUCACGAUGUCUUUUGCUCGAUUUGCCAGGGGAUGGGACAUAAAAAUUGUAGUAGUCCUCAUUAUCAGUAUAAUCAUUACUACUAUAAUCAUCAUCCUCAAUAUCAUCCCUCUCUAAUACUGGGAGUGGGGCGACUUGAUCCACACCCUGGUCUUCCUCAAUGGCAUCCUCAUGGUCAUAAUUCUCUGAGUCAGAGUCUUGAAAAAUGAAAUUAAGCUGCCACUGAUCAAGCGGUUGUAAAAAAACAGAAAAAUCUGGGUGGUCACCAUUUUCACCAACAAUACUAAUCACUGCAAAAUCCUCAAAAUCAUCUUGAUGGUCGCCUGUCGCGUUGACGUUAUGUGCCAUUUUCUCAGUAGAAGAUUGAAAAACACUGCAAUGUCUCAAAGAAAACAGAGCUUGCAUGAACAGUGAGUGAGUGUGAGAGUAUGAUUAAACUCCAGGGUUAUAACCCUCUCUCUAGCCUUCUAAAACUGUGAUGUCACAUGUGUGCCACGCCCAGAUUUCAAACUGUUCUAGAAUCUUAGAGGGAUUUCUGUUUAGGUUAAAAAUUUUCUGUUAGGUUACUACACUGCUUACUGGGGUUAGACGUGAGGCUCGCACAUUUGAAAUGGUUGGUUGAAAAAUUUACUCACAAAUUAAUUUUUUAUUUGGGUAAAGCCUGUAGAAUAAAGUGGCUCAUUGCAUCAGCUUUAUGUAAAUUGUGCCCAUAGACUGUAUAUACUAUGGACAACUUGUUUCCGCCUUCCGCCUGUAUACGGAUUUGAAGCCAAAAAGCGCUGGGUAAUUCUGCGUUUUCUCUUCAUUUCCUGAAACUAACAUUGCGCAGUAGUAUUGCACGCACUCCACCACUUGCGUUGGUGCGCAUUCAGCGGGAGAGUCACCGAGAGUCACUGUGAUGACGCUCAGCUCAAACAGCAUAUCCCCUGGGUGAGCUACGCAACCCUUAUACACCCAAAGACUGUAUCGAGUGUCAGUCAUAGAAAACAUUAACCCCCUAAUAACUUUGAAAAAAAUGGAGCUGUACAGAAAAUAAAGAGGACUUGAGCACAAACCAGUCUUACAGUAACUACAUGUUAAUAUCGCAAGCGGGGGGGGGGGGGGGAUUAUGUUCUGUGUAAAACAUGUCAAAGCAUAAUAAACUGGUGAUAAUUAAUCUACAGCUAGUACAAAAUAACACUGGCAACAUUGAGGCAUGACAUCAGCCCUGACAUACACUGAUCCAACUGAUGUAUUGUGCAGAGUUAAUUAUCCUCUCUCUAUGAAAACAAAUACAGGAGUAUAGAUUAAAGUCAUCUGUUAUUUCUAUUAGUCCUUGAGCCAAGAACCAAAAUUUCACAUAUCGGUACCACCUGGGUGGGCAAAUUCUAGUUGGGAUUUUUUUAUUGCUAUACAUCCCUACAAUAAGUUUUUAUAUGAUAGACCUUGGUAACUGGUAGCUUUAUUGUAGUUAUCACUCAUUGAAGUAAUAGAGUGCAGCUGUUCAAAAAUGAAAAAUCGCCUUCCUUCAAAAUUAGCUUUCUUUCAUUUUAACCUCUCAUUUCGGUGUGUUUGAACUAUUGACUAGCCAUAGAGACUUGUAAUAACCCCCUAAGUAGUAUUUCAAGUAUUUUAUCUAAUACAGGUGUGUAUAUAUAAGCUUCAAUUAGCCAAUUGUCAGGUCUAAAUCAAGGUCUAAAUUAAGGAUAUUUUUUGACUUAGAAGUAGAAGUAAAAUAAAUGCAGACUAAUAGCAUCAUAAUAACACAACUUUAAUAUGACACUGACAUAUUUUAAAUGCAGG
rnacentral:lncRNA from 1 species